rnacentral:lncRNA from 1 species
GUUUCGCACCGUUGACUGGUCGCGACGAGUCUCUGCUGGCCGUCCGUCCCCCAGAUGUGCCUUCCCGGGUGUUUUCCCCCCGGGGGGGAGGGGGGGGAGGGGGGGGACGCCGCCACCCGCAUCAUCCCUCUCAUCACACACAUGAAUGCCGUGACUUUUCUAAACCCUAAGUCAGUGACUUUUGGGGACCAGCACCUAUCUCCACCUCCGCCACCACCUACACCACCACCACCACCUACACCACCACCAAGGUUCAGUAGUGUGUGUGUGGGGGGUGGGAGGGGGAGUAGAUGGAGCUGACUGCUGACCGACCCUAGGGAGCUGCUGAAAGUGUUGCUGUUGCUUUUGAAGUUGUUUGCUGUUGAUGUCGCAGUUGCCAGCAGUUCAGUUUUGUGUGGUGUGCGCUGUUCCCCCCCUGGCCGCUGUGCGAGCGAGGACGUGCGUGUGUUGCGUGUGUGUGUGUGUGUGUGUGUGUGUGUGUGUGUGUGUGUGUGUGUGUGUGUGUCUCAUCCACAUAAUGCGCCCAUCGUUGCUGCUUUCGGCGGCACUUAUACCCCGUCUUUCCAUUGUGUGGCGAGUUUAUGACCGCUGUAAACAUAUCCGGGGCCCUUAACCGUUUUUUGGCCUUUCUGGGUGAGCAGCAGUGGUGUUGCGAAUAACGGAGAGUGGACCACUGGCCUCAGAGAGCUCUGUGUGCGGGUAAUGGCUAGUCGCGUUCUUGCUCUUCUUCGUGAUCCGGCGUCGUUCUGCGUUCAUUUUGGGCAGUGGUUAGGUAGGUAGUGAGGUGAGGUGAGCCACGUAGAGGCCAAUGGGGGACGGGAGCAUUGCCUGAGUGAGCUUUGGGUCGAGUUGAUAAGGCCACCAUUGCUAUGUCGGGCGAGAGGGCGCUGGAAUGGAAGAAGACAUUAAUGAUCAAGGAAUCCGUAUCCAUCUAAUGGAAGGUAUGAUCGAUACUGAUAGAGAGAGAUUGAGGGGUGGGUGUAUGGUUGUUUGUUGAGGAUCGCGCGUGUGUUUGUGUGUGUGAGUGUGUGUGUGGUUGAGGUCGUGUGGAGGUGGGAAUUUUGAGUUUUGAUAACCUGUUCACUCUACCCAUCUUUUGCCAGCCGCGGUCUGUUUAUCGGUCAUGACAGUCAGUCAGUCAGUCAGUUUGUCUGUCUGUCUAUUCGUCUGUCAUGACAAAUUUUGUUGUCUCAUUUCUGUUUUACAUUUAUAAUUAUUAUUAUUACGGAUGGGAUUAUGGGCCUUACGUCCGGCACUGGCCGGGCCGACAUAUCGUUGGUUUGUUGGUUGGUUUGUUGGUCGGUUGGUCUUCUGUCGAAGUGAAUGGGAACCAGCACAUCGCAUGCAUUUGGAAGCUUUGAAAACGCCCCUGAACACUUACUAGUUGAUGAGCAUGCCAUCCUUCCCUGCGUUUCGACGGGAGGAUAAACACAUUUUUUGGUAGAAAAGUCACAAAUCAUCAAGUAGUACACUCAUGUGCUGUAUAAAGUACCAUUAACGGUAUAGAUCAUGUACUUCUCUUGGCAGGUUGUGUUGUGUCCCUUUGAAGGUCCCUUUGAAUGUCCGUGUGGCGGAUUAAGGCAAAGUAAAGCUGGUUUUGGGGGGGAAUGGGAGGGCUGGGGGCCGCCGGGGGUGCACGCGUGUAUGUAUGUGUAUGUGGGUACAUGUAUGUGUGCGUGUUUUGGGCUUGUAAGGGAAGUGCAGGCUCCCAUGUGAGAGGGGUAUUACCCUGUCUUAGACUGUCAUGCAUGCGGCCCUUCCGGUCCGCUGCUGCUGCUGCUGCAUCCAUGAUGAUGAUAUAUCUUCUGGCCGGUCGUAGCUAUAUGCCGUACACAUCCGCCACGGCCGCGACGGCCCCCCUGCUCCCCGCCCUCAAUGCCUCUCUUUCUCUCGAGCGCCGGAAGCGCUUUUCUCUCACAAGUAAUCUAAAAGCGCGUGCGUACAUGUGUAUGCGAAGGCUGCCCGUAUGACUUAGAACUGGGGGGGCAUCCUGCAUGGCUAUGAACGGCGUUUUGUCGGCGGUACAGCCCUGGCCCCUUUUGCCGUCUGUGAGCUCACACGGGUUUUCAGUUCCCUUGACAUCUCCCGUGAGUAUUCUUAGCCGAUGUUACACCGUCCCCUUUAAAUAUUAUGCAUGAUUAUUGCAGAACAACAGCUGCUCGAGUGAGUUGCGGUGGGCUCCCAUUAUGCCGGGAUAUAACGAAGGACAUACAUACGUAUCUGAAAGAAGUGAAGUGUUUGCCUCUGUGUUACGAUCGUAAAUGCAGCAAGAGGUCACAGGUCACGCGGCCGGUUGGGUUUUUGUUCUAUAUGCCGUACCGUGUUGUAAGACACAACCACAAAGUAAUGGUAUCGAAAGGUACCGAUUAGACUACAAAAUAACGGGUUGCAACAUACCGUCGUUUGGUGGUUUCGUGUCGUACGGCGUGUCGUAUGAGUUUUGCGGAUUUUAUGGAUUUGUGGUGUAUAUAAUCGCGGUGGCACUACUAAGGGUGCUCACACUGCCACCGUGUUCAGCUGUGAUUUGUAUGUAAUAAAUAUAUUAUUAUUAUUAUUGUUAUUGUUAUUAUGACCCCCUCAUGAUGUGGGUGGAUAUGAACGAUUGGGGGUUGGCGGUUCCCGCCACGGAGAGGGUACGUGGUGGGAUGCUUAUGGAAGGCGCGGAUUGAAGUUACAGGAGUGUCGUACACGACUGCCGUACGUCCUACUGUACAGCCCUCCGCCCGCGCUUCAUGAGCAAGCGCUUCACGUCGUCGUCUAAAAAGUUCCUAGUAGUACUGUGGACAUGCGACCGCCACCCAUUGGCGCAGAGGUGUGAGUUUGUAUGUAAGUAGAUGUGUGGGACAGGGGGGUGUAUCUUCGCCCGUGGCAGCUACCCUGCGAAACCCUGCCUUCCCCGGUAUUUCGGGGCACCCUCAUCCAGUCACCCUAGUCAACUUCUCAGUGGAUCGCUCAGGUUCAGCACCCACCACCGGCAUCCAACGGAAUCUGACGGAUCGACGGCGGCUCAACUUCAUGUCUGGUCAGCUCGCAGGUCUACUUCAUCUCAGGCACUCUUUCCUAUCACAAUUGGAAGAAUUUUCGACCCUAACAGGUCUCGAUCCCGGAACCUCUUGGGGCAUCGGUGUGUGCGUUACCAGUAGUAGCCUGACCUAUUAUGAUAUUAUAAAUGUAUGUUUGUCUAAGUUAUUAUUGUGGUACUAUGGGGCUGCUGCUCUGUGUGUGUGUGUGUGUGUGUGUGUGUGUAUGUGCAUGUGUAAUUAAGUGUGCAUCGGUGAUGAAGCAAACCUUGUAAUAAUGUUAUCACUUGGGGAAGUUGUCGCGGCGUAUUUUAUGUUGUACCGUUAUCGAAUGCGGCCAACCACAAAACCGCCCUGGUGGACCUUUUGAUGGAAACACACGGCGGACGUUAUCUAUUUAAGUUUCAUGUGUGCAUAUGCUGCUUUUGCUGUAUAAGAGUGCAUGACUGUGCCUAUACACACUUGUAUAUAAGUGCCAUGCUACCUAGGGGAGGUGGCGCUGUGGUCCAGUUAGGGCAAGAUGGAGGACCUCCAUUGGAGGUGACAUCAUGUGUUUACUGCUCAUGGUUCAUUUGGUAAAUUACGCGGUCUACCUCCGAAACGAUGACCUACAACAUGACUUGCUCUCCCCUCUGCCUCCCCUCUGCCUCCAUCAUUUUAUGUUACGAAGUGGGAAAUGGAUACGAUAUUAAGUUAUAUUAAGUUGAAGGCUUGCAAUUGGCAUACGAGUGGAUAUUGCUUUUAUGGUUGUCAGAGGCCUUUAUGGUGUGGUUGUUGUUGCAAAUAAUGUGCGUCAUCAUCACCAGCAUUAGCGGUUCGAUUUCCUUGCUUCCUAACUGUGUGUGUGUGUGUGUAACAUGGUUGGGGGUGCGUGACCCCAUACCUGUAAGACUACCCAUACGAGCCGAAGGCCCAAGGGCAAUACUACAACGCCUAAAAGCCAUGGAGGAAAGGAAAACACCGCACAUCAGCCCAGGCUAGCGUCCAAAGGGGGUAAUUGAGUUUCGGUGAGCCCACAUACGUUCCAACAUCCUCGCAAGACGUGCGGGUUCCCAUUGCAUGGCCUCCAACAUGCUCUGUUGAUGAUCGAAUCCCUCUUCAGCACGAAUAUCAUUAUAAGCUGGGCAUUCCAAUAACACUUGUUUUUCAUCCUCAAUUCGGCUAUUAGUAUCACAACAGUGGCAAAACCGCUGCCCCCUGGGGACAUGGUACUUGCCCCUUCGUGCUCUGUUUGCCUGCCUAUAAAGCCCAGCAACAUGAACGAAACUGCAUUAGCUUACGAUGUGCUAAACGAGGAAUGAAAACCUUAGCAUGUGUUGGCCGCAUGACGGCUGCGGCUCCCGAAAAGGGCAGCCCCAUCCAGUGCUUAUACUUCGCCAUUUGCACUCCCGGUUGCUUCCCAUCUGAUGGGUACUCCUCUGGCAAGACAGUCAGACGCGUAUGGUCCCAGCCGCUUAUCAAACGCUCUCUUAGUGCCGUUAUCAUCGCUCCUUCGGGUAGAGGUCUACUCAACAACCAGUCAACACGCUCCUUUACCCCCACGACUUCUUGCGGUAUUCCGCUCCAAAUGUUGCACUCCAAGAAGGAAAACAGUCUUCCUAACUGUAACACAGCAAAGGCGUAACCCGGGAUGCUCAGAUUGGCAUUUGCGUCGUUACAUUGCCCCCCACUUAGCAAUGGACGUCCUCGGCCAUUAUUUCGAGCACAGGAGCCAUCCCACCUCGCGCCAGUGCGCUGGUUUAUCCAUUACACCAUGAAAUCGCCAAUUUGCGACUUGCUGGUUGCCAGAAUCGAACCGCCGACCCGAAGUUUGUUACGGAAGUCGUGCAGUCCCGUCUCGAUACCAUUGUAACACAGCAAAGGCGUAACCCGGGAUACUCAGAUUGGCAUUUGCGUCAUUACACUAACUAACGAGCAUCCAUCCCAGGAAACACGAGCAGAUGCGUAGAGGGGAGGGGCGCGAGCAGUUACCAGCCGCUACAGGCUCUCGGCAAAUACGCAGAAAAUUAUUUCGGGGUCUAGAACUGACAAUGUGAUAAAGCGGCCCAGAAGCUUCCCACUCUGUAACAUUACAUUACAUUUCGGGGUUUUAAGUUCAGAGCUGCUAGUUACACUUCGGCUUUAGGUGGCUGGCUGUAGUUCGCUGCAUUUACCUUCAAAAGCAUGCAGCAGCUAUUACAGCUUAGUAAAUACAGCUAUAGCGGCCCUAUGUAGGACAUUACAAACCACUCUCGCUAACUGCUCUCGCACCGUCUUCGUGACAGCAGUAGUGGUGCCACACAACAGGCUCUCGAGAGGGGCCGCAACAACCCCCCUUCCAAGCGGCAGGCCGGCAGAGCGACCAGGGUGGCUGCUGCCCCUCACCCCCCCUUCCGAGCGCCCACGCACCGACCUGCGAGUUAGCACACUCGCGUCGGCUCCACCCACGCAAGGCUGCCGCCCUCGGCCACUCUUGGGGGUAGGGGGGGGUGCCGUCCCCGCGCCCAGCCCGUCUGGCGAGUUAACACCCGAGCCUGAGAUAUCAGCGAGGCUGCUGCCUCCCAGCCCUGUUUCAGGCUCCCCCGGUGGCGGGUUAACAGUCGCCCCCCUGGGCUACACCGCACACCGGUGGCUCCUACAUGGCGCUCUUCCGGUCCCCAGUACUCUACCUGGGUUAGCACUUGCACCGACUUCACUGCGGAGCUGCCACUGCUGCGGCAGCCACAACCAACUUCUUGCCCUUAGCACACCUUCAGAAAGUGGUCCAACUCGCUGCACUGGUUUGCGUGCAAACACACACACGGGGGCAGGGGAGCGGAGCUAGCGGACCGGCGGCUCGGCCCCUCACGCCCCUCUCCCGUCCGCUUAGGGAGAGAGCUUAGGUGGUCUUUCCGUUGGGACCAGGCAGCAGUACCCGUGGCCAGUGGCAGGCCCGGCCAGAUACUUGUAACCUCCACGCAUUCACACACCCAUACCCACCCACCCGCCCAUGCACCCGCACACACACACACUGAGAAGUUGGCUAGGGUGACUGGAUGAGGGUCCCCCGAAAUACCGGUAUAAAAUACAGGCAGUUACUGUUAAAACCUAUAAGCGAUGAUUAUAUGGGUCCGUUCCGGUCACCGUUGGACCGCCUCCCGGACCGCAAUAACCAGCUUCCGGUCCGACCACAACCCUGAUGAGCUUCCCAAUCCAUAGGGCCGCCACGUAAUUCGGUGGCACACUUGGUUGGCUCGCAAGCGAAAGGGAAAUGCGUUGGGAUUUUUCCAAGAGGUAGUUAGUAUAGAAGGUACGAUUUAGGAAACGGUUACAGUAUAUCAUUGCGUUGCAUUAUCGUUAACCGAAGCCGAAGUUGUUUUGGCGGUACUUCGACGUCUUAUCUUAUGUAUCCUACGUAUAGCGUUUCACGUAUAGCGGACACGCCCAGAGCAGGCCGCAAAUAUGUACGUCGUGGAAAUCCAAAAAGAUUUGCGCUUACAGUUACUCAUCACUGCCGUGCGUCCUGUUUUGAUAAGUCACAUGCCUUACCAUCUUGGCAGGCAGAUCCUAUACUUAGAUCAUGCCUUGCGUGUCCACAUAAAGCUAUCGUCUAGUUGAAUUAAGGUACAUGGGCACAAUGUAUUUUCCGUCCGAGAGGAUCAUCAUCUGGCAUCGGAGGGAUGGGAAAAAACAAGCUAAAACGCCGUCGGCGUCCCUGCUAACACCCGCGUCUUCGCUACGUUGCCACCCAAUCUCAUGCCAGAAAUGCCGCUCCUAUUAGCCGCUCACUCUUGUUCACAAGCAACAAAAAGCAGCCAGCCAUAACAAAAAUAGUUUCAUAAUAGGUCAAAUCGCAAAAACAUGUAUCAAACAGCAGACCUCCCAAACGUCAACGGAAUGAAUCAAUAUGUGUUCGGUUUCACCAGAAACCAAUCGCGCCAAGGCCUAUGAGCGUAGCCGCCCAAUCAUCAGGCCAGGCCGUAAUGCCUAGCUACUAUUACAGCGUAAUCACACCCGCUCCCGCCCCUUCUAAAAUGCACAUCUAAUAGAUAACAGUUCACCGGCCGCCUUAAAAGCAACGACUACUGUCACCGCCUCGCAGCGAGACAAACACCUCGGGCCGCCCUUCUCAUUUCCACGUCCCCCGGUUACAGUGCCCGCGCGCCCCAACCUGCAGUCGAAAAUAGCACCGGCAAUUUCGGGUCAUAGAAACCCACAUCUCCACCCCACAUCGUAAAACAAAUCCUUGUCGCAGGACGGUCACUUACACACACCACCUCACCCAUUUCGUUGAGGUGCACCUGCAAAAACCCGCUCAAGACAUCACCUCGCUCCCCUCCCCGCCCUGCUGCACCCGCCACUGCGCUGCGAUAACAUCAUCUAGGAGGUAUGAAUAAAUCAUUCCGACUAGACAUCGAAGAAUCGAAUCCAGCUAACGCUGCAGUGCGCUGCUACUGCAUCCACAUCGCCUCGGCCAACAUGGGCCCUAUGGCUGCUGCAACCCCCCCCCCUCGCAGGUACCCGCACCCGGCUGAUCUCGGCAGUGGCCCCCCCGGGGGGAGGGGAGGGGGGGAAAGGGGAGGAGGGCCGCGCGCUGUGCCCGUGACCCGGCGGCUCCAACCCCCCAUUCCCCCCCAAUCUCGCUAGGGGUCUUGAACUCUCAUCUUACAGGCCUUGGGCCCGGUGAAUAGAUCAAAUGGCUGCGGGGAAAGGUUGGGGGUUGUGGGGGAAAAUGGGCGGGUGCGGGUCGGGUGGGAGAUACAUAUGCACACAGAUUGCGAAAGCAACAGCAGCAACAGCAGCAGCAGCAGCCAAUGUGUAUCUAAACAUCAUGUCAAUAACAAAUCGAACUUCCGACCAUUACCACCAUCCCCCCCCGUUUUGUCAUCUGUCUUCAAAAUUCCCCGCCUCCUCCCCGUCCUGCUCCACCCCCACCCCAACCACCACCCCCACCCCACCCAACCACCACCCCCACUAUCUCCCCACAGCGGACCUGUCUUGCAGAGGAAGCCGUCCAGAGCGGUGCCACAGCCCGCGUCCAGCGGCAGUGCCGGCAUCCAGCCGCACCGGCGGCUGGCGGUGCCGUCGGCCGCCACGUCACCAGUCAAAGUGCACAAAAUGCUGUAACACGCGCCGUUGACCAGAAUCGUACCGCCAUCGGUCGUUGGCAGGUACGACACCGGCUGGCCAUCCGUCCACAACGGAUCCACGAGAUCCAAUUUCAACCCGAUCCAAAGCUUCAAGGACGACCCGCUUCCAAGCGUCGAAAUGAGGGAAGAAACUCGUAAGGCGUCUUGUACGGCAAGCCAGGCAUCACCGCCUGGGAACGACGCCAAAUUACCGCCACGCGCCGCACACGCGGCCUGCGCGUUGGUGAAAUUUAGUCGCUCUGGUCGUACGUCGUACCGGAAGUUGCCGUACAGGAAGGACAGCACCUCGUCGAGCGCGGCUGUGAAAAUGGAGUGUCGGGCAAAGCGAAAUUAGUGAAAUUACGACAGAGCUUUUUCCGACACACACACACACAUACACACACAUACACACACGGAUGUCGUACGUAUGCUGCAUACAUGCCCUCUCAAAUGCAAUCAUUCCUUGGGGACGCAUCUACAUAUUUCCGCCUCAUGGCCAUCAGUAGGUUGGCCCAGAUCAGCGAACCCCCUCGGUCUGCUUUGUCGUACUGUCGUACUGCCGUAUUAGGAAAAGUGGAUUGCGUCCUAGUUCCCCCGGCAGGAGAGAAAGGCGUACGUCCUCACCAGGCACGUUCGGAGGCGAAGACAACGGCGGCGGCGGGCACCGAAUGCCCCGGCAAGAUCGUGUGACCGGCGGCGGCGAGGGCCGCGGCGAGGGCGGCGGCGGCGGUGGCGGCGGUGGGGACGGUGGCGGCGGGGAUGGCGGCGGCGGCGGCUCCAGCGGCGGCGAGCAUUUCCGCUUGCAAGCCGGAGGCGGCUGGGAAGGAAGUAAAGGGAGUUGCGGGAAUGACGGUGGUGGCGGAGGGGUAGGAGGUGGCGGAGGUGAAAAUCUUGCCGGUCGUACACGGACUGGCGGCGGUGGGCUUGGGGUCUCGGGGGGUGGCGGCGACGGCGACGGCGGAGGCGGUAGAGACGGCGGCGGGGGUGAUGGAGGCGGAGGAGGAGGGGGAGACUUACGAGGAGGCGGAGAAUUUGGUGGUGGUGGUGGCGACGGUGGCGACGGCCGUGGAGGUGGGCGGGGAACUGGCGGUGAUGGUGAAGGCGGCGGCGGCGAAGGUGGCGUGGGCGAAGGCGGUGGCGGAGAGGGAGGUGGCGGCGACGGAGGCGGCGGUGCAGGUGGCAGAGGGGAUGGCGGUGGCGGUGACGGAGGCGGUGGCGACGGCGGGGAUCGGGGAGGUGGUGAUAGAGGACGCGGAGAGCGAGGUGGCGGCGACGGAAGCGACGGUGGCGGUGGCGACGGUGGCGACGGUGGCGGUGGCGACGGUGGCGGUGGACGCGGCGACGGUGGCGGCGGCGACGGUGGCGGCGGCGACGGCGGCGGCGGCGACGGUGGUGGUGGCGACGGUGGCGGUGGCGACGGUGGCGGUGGACGCGGCGACGGUGGCGGCGGCGACGGUGGCGGUGGACGAGGAGGUGGCGGCGAUGGAGGCUGUUGCGGCGGGGGCGAACGAGCUGCGGGGGGUGGGGACCGUACGACAGGAGGCGGCGGCCGUAGCGACGACGGGACAGGUGGCGGCGGUGACGGCGGUGACGGAAACUCCACAGGUUCCGGAGCGUCCGGCGGCAGCGUCGGCAUCUCCGGUGGCGGCGGACCCGCACGAGCCGGUGGUGGCGGCGGAACAUCCGUACGGCCCGUAACCGGAAAUACAAACAUGGGGCUGGGGAAAGGGUUUUUCCACGGGGCGGAAAGGGUGGUGGUGCGUUAACAGUGCAACACACCCAACUUAUCCAUACACUUGCACAUCCCCAUCCGUGCCUAAGCGUGCUCUGAAGCACCACCUAGGAAUUGCGUCUUGCGCCAUAAAUGAGCCUGUCGUGCUGUGGUGUGUAUGUGUGUGUUGGGGGGGGGGGGAAUGAGGGGGACCAUAUGUAGCCCACCGUGCCGCGAACACCCCCCCCCUUUUUUCCCCGGCCCCCCACCCUCCCCCCUCCCCCCUCCCCCCUGGCAUCCGUUGACAAUAACCCACCAGCAUUCGUAAUUGUCCACCUUCUUGUCGUACACGCCCACCUCCAGCACCCCCUGGUCCCGAGUGUCCGGAUUCGCCAGCGAAGACAAGGUGGGGCAGUUGCCCUUCAUGCUGAAACACAGAGUCGUCGUGUUGAUCUUGUCAAAGGGAAUGUACAUGUUGGUAAUUUUGAACGUGGGCUUGUCAAGGUCGCCCUGCGGGAAAACAGUCCCACGGGUCGGCACGGGACGUACGGCAUCAAAGGACAGUCCGCAGGUCCGAGGGAUCCUUCCGUUAUCGUAAGAUAAACGGUGUGGAUGUGGGUGUGGGUGUGGGGGGUUAAUCCCCUCUCCCAACCCCCCUUUAGUGGCCCCGGACUCGUCUACACAAACAGUCACAAAACACACACACGCGCACAUGCGUUCUCCGGGGCUUCCUCCCCCUUGCACCUCCCCUUCCCCCCCCCAGGGUGUAAGGAGCAUCCGCCCUUGUUUCUUUGGACUUCUUGUAACUAAGAAAACAUGACUUCACCCCCUUUGGCUAAAAAACCUUUCACCUGGCUUUGCUCUUGCUGUACAAACCCCCCUGUUCCUCCCAGCUCUCGUUUUUCCUCUCCGCCUCACGCCCUAUCCCCUCCCCACGCGCUCCCUCCGUUAUUCCGUUGGUUUUUAACUGGACACAACAAAAACCCCAACCACCUCCCCUUUUUCCUUCUGCCAUCGGCGGCUCAUGGCCUCAUGGCCGCCAGCACCAGGCAAUCCCCUACCCCGUACAAGUAGCCCCCCCCCGGGCCCGAGGUCGCGGUCUUCACGGACGCCUUUCGGUCAGUUCUACGUGUGGUACACUCUUGCCCUGGCAGCAGCUUCACUCGUUUGUGGUUCGUCCUUCCCCCCGGGCCCCCUCCUCCGCACCCCCCCUCACAUGUAGAUACUCCUUGAAGGCCGCCGUCGUCACCAUGUUAUUCACGGUGAUGUUGAAGAUGUCGCUCCGCUGGCACAAGGGGUCUGUGUGUGCGAGGGGAGGGGAGGGGGCGGAAGAAAGGGCCAGGGAAGGUGACAUCAUAACCGACACGUCACCUUGGACGACAAUCCCUCUGGGAAACCAAGCCAACGCUCCCAUUUCCCAACACGGAACAUCCUUACGUCCUACAUCCUCUUCUGUUUUCAACGCCCGUCCCGAUGCCGUACAACGUACAAUCCUCCGUACGCCGGGCUCGAGUCCCGUCCAGAUUUCCUCCGGGUGGGGCCCCCUCAAUAAAAACACUCGGUUCCCGUCUCCCCCGCCUGCCACCAAACCCAAUAACCCGCGUCCAUGCCCCGUGUGACGGCCGAGAUAACCCCGGCAAAUACACACACGCACCCGCGCCGCCCCUGGCCUACCCGCAAGCCCACGCGCAGCCUACAUACGGCACACCACCAUCUUACCAAUGUACAUUUUAAACUUGUUGAUGUGGUUCUCCCCGCAGCACCGCAGUCCGUUGGGGGUGCACUGGCUGACAGGUUUGUAGCCGAAGCGAAAGCACGCGCGGCUGAAGCGCGUGGGAUCCUCCACGUACGAGGUAAGGGUAACCGUCCACCGGUUGAUUGAUGCGCCCAUUUUGCAUCCCUCCCACGGAAAUUUAGAACCCGUCAGGUAGCUGGCAUGACCUGGAGGGGGAGGGAUGUGGAGGAGUUAAGACCACAUAAAGUGCCAGGAGGGAAGGAAGGGAGGAAGGGUACGGAAAGCGGCGGAAGGGUGCGGUUGAGCCUUGAAGAGGUUCGGAGCCCAGCGGCCGGGUAGGUGCACGUUCAGAUGUACAGACAAACGUACGCGGGUAGAUUCUAUCAUUGAGGUGGAGGGAAGGGUACGGGUUUUUUGUGCCAGUGGGUGUGACUGCUCUCCAGAUGGGGUUGGAUGAGACGGGGAGUGGUGGAGGUUCGUUAGAGGGGUGCGUUGUGACCUGAUAGCUGGUAGCAUGUGGGAGAAGUCCCUCCCUAGGGCAAUUUGAGAAAUAAGAUUAUCAUCUGAUACGCAUGAUUGAUACAAGGCAACGGCGACUUCCAUUACGCCGGUAUUCAUGGCCGGGUCCGGCUGUUGUGUGUAGCAGAUAGUUACGGCGUUACGCGACCUCGGUGUGCGACAGCCAAGACGAGGCUAGGCACCGUUCUGAACCAGAAAAGUGUCAAAGAAACGACAGCUUGUCAUUAACUGAUGACCAUGCUCUAUUGGCUGAAUUGCGCGCGGUAACGACCAGGGUUGCGGACGCCCCGAAACCAACACCGCCGCCGCAAAAACGUUACAGCAGCAUGGGAGGGGCCCCGCGACAGCUUGGCACAGGUUACGGUGACGAGAUCUAACCAGCGACGUUCAACGUAAGGUGCUGUGAGGCUUAUGACUCGUUCGCCAUAGAUGCCGACAUGCGCUUAGAUUUUUUAGCUGCACGAUUAUGCAGCUGCUAGCCACCAUGACAACAUCCUAAUACAGGCCCUUACUUCUAGGGUGAGCGUUAGCCGCGGUAGGAAAGCUUACUUGUUUGCAUUAAAAAGGUGAGGCCCAGAGCGGCGAGCCACAGCCAUUCCCGCAUGGGUUGUCCCAUGCUAUGUGGUUGUAGUCUACAAAGAAACAAGGUAAGCGACGUUCUUCAGCAUAAUUCACAUCCACUUGCUGUCCAUCGGGCGGUUAACUUAAACCGCCACGCCGCCUCUUAGCUUCAUAAAUAAUCUGUCUCCAAGCCUAACGAAAAACGAAGGAAACUCCCACCUUGGCUACGUUUUCAGCGUGUUUUGGUCCGUGCGGCAACAGUCUCAGCAACGCCAAAGCUGACGGCUGAAGACAGUCCCUAUGGUGUUGUAAUAUAUUUGGAAUUCCAAGAGAUAUUUUCCUGGGGUCAACGUUGAAGGUGGGCGUCACGGACUAGUUACACACUGAAAACGAGCCCAUACGCUUUGCCCAAAUAUAGUUGAUUGGGCAGAUGGAUAACAGGAAGCACGAAUGUACAAUACAUCCGUGAUCCGGCCUCAAAUACAACCUUGGAAAAUUCAGUAUUACGGAGGUUGCCGUAGCGAGCCUUGGUGGGCGGUUGAGCACGACCGUAGCGGAACAGUCAUGUUAUACUCUGGUUUAUAGUAAAUACGAAUGGGAAACCAGUUAAAACUCAGGUAAGUGUAGAAGCGCGUCCCCACUUCGCGGUGAGUUAACUAUCUUCCUCGUCACUCUCUGAGACUUCAUGGUAAACCACCUACAUGCAAAAAGUAAGACAUUUCAGAAGGCCUUCCUGAAAAGCACGGUAAGCUUGAUCCUCACCUUGCGGUUUGUGUUCUGCUGUAAAGGCUGCCCUCCAUACUCGUCGUCGUCAUCUGGUCCAGGCUGCUUCCCAUCAGCCCCUUCGUCGUCGCUUCCCGAAGGCGGCAUCACUGGCGAGGAAAAACCAAGACGGCCGGAGCACACUCAGUUUGGUUACUAAACUCAACUGCCGAUACCGGCAGUCAUGCAUGCCACCCUCCUGCAUGUUUCCUCUGUCAAGGACUUACGGUCGUCGAGCGAGCCUUUGUCCUCUUUCGACGCGAACUCCUUGGGCCUGCAGUAAGGGUAUCAUGGACUCAUCGUUGGGUUUCUCUUCCAACGACUGUGCAUCGCAAAAAGGGCUAAAUCGCGCGAAGGACUCACGCGGCCUCUUCUUUCCCCCCUCUCUCUGGCGCCUCACCAAAUGCCGGGCAUCUUGGCCAGCUGCUUAAUUUGAUCGUCGUAGAGCACGGACAGUAUAGUGCCCGUCACUUUGCUGUCCCCACCCGCCGCAGGGCUAUCCUCCACGAGCAGAUAUCCACCCCGCUUUACCCAUAGCUUCUUGUUAAACUUUGCGGGCAUGAGCACCAACGUCUGGCGCCCAUCCGGGAACUCCACCUGGCACGCAGCCAGCCCGACGACGGGGGAUAAGUGCUUCCCGAAAACAGUGGCCUUGCCCUUCCUUGGAAGGUAGCCAUCUCAAACCCAAAUGACCUGUACCUUACCGCUAUGAGGUUGCUGCCUCGUGAUCCAAGCGCUCUCACUAUGGACUGCCCUGGCCCAGGCGGCUGCACCUCUUCAUCGAGCCCUAACGUGACAUGCUUGCGACUUCGAGACAUAAAGGCAGCUAGAAUUGUAUCAGGUACAGGUGAUGGCCAAGCAGCUAGACAACAGCUUUCAGACUAUGAGAACGCAAAACCCAAAUCCUAAAUCCGCAAGGACUGACUUUUGCAAGCAGAACAUAUUACAUAACUUUCUAUAUUGUUCCUUGUGAAAACAGUUGAUAGGUACAGUCACAUUUUGGCCUAAUGCUAUUUGGCACGGCCGCCGGCACCGACACUGCGACGUAAACUAAUUUCAGGGCAACAGCCACGAAGGGUUAUCCAUUAUGGACGCACCUAAAGCACAUUGAACAAUUAUAACACUUUCCGACAGCACAACACUGUACCACUUGACAAAUGAAUGUGCGGACGAGUUGUCCAGCGCUGCGCCACGCAGCAAGGCGUCGCCUGGCGCUACUUGCACCUAGCCAUGCGAUAAUUCGUCGCUCCUGGAAAUCUGCGAAAGUCCCAGAAAAGCUUCCCGGGGUAUCCCAGGCAUGUCCUGGCCGCGCGGGUUGGUGUCUGAGGCAGCCGCUUAGGAACCACGCACAGGUCCCCCGUUACCAGCUCGCGCGGCCUGCGCAUGUCCACGAUAACGAUGAGGUUUCUGGAAGCUCAUCGUCAUCGCCAGAUCAGGAGCUUUGGUCGGCCGGUGCGUGUUCGAUUUAAGGGAGGGAUGGAGGAAGAGGGGUUCCCCUAGCUGGCCGCUCAACUACUCCGGUAUCAGCAGUACAUCCCAACCGAAACGCGUCUGACUUCAGUUGCGAAUUCCACUCUGGCCGUCUCAUAGCGUUAGUAACUAUUGAUGUAUCAGCGCGAGGGGUCAAGUCCUCAACAGCGGCCCAACACGCACUCAAGAGCCCCCCUCAUCAUCAUCAUCAUCAUCAUCAUCAUCAUCGCGCUCCAGGGGGGGGAGAUGGAGGGCAACUCCGCCAUCUGGGUGUGCUCAGCGGGGCCAAAACCUCCCCGCGCUUUUUCCCCCGGGGUCGUGUUUCGGCGCCCGGACCCUACACAAACACACAUUCACACCGUAAUAUGGAUGGUAGGGUCUGUACAGGGUUUCGGGGUUUCCUCCGUCUUACAUGUGAACCCUCAUCCCGAGAGCCGGAUCAGGACGGGGCAGGAGAGGAGACUUGCUUCAAAAGGCUGAGAGCGCGAACUCGCGGGACGGAGCCUUGAGUCGUUGUGCGAGCGAGCGUGCGCGUGUGCGACGCCUCCUAAGGCUCUCGGCUAUGCUUAGGAGGGGGCAGAGGAGGAACCUCUCGCGCCCCUCUCCCGUCCGCUUAGGGAGAGAGCUUAGGCGAUCUUUCCGUUGGGACCAGGCAGCAGCCCCUGUGGCCAAUGUGUUAAGCCCGGCCAGAUACUUGUAACCUCCACGCAUUCACAUACACACAUACAUACACACACAUACACACAGCUCCCAGCCCUCUAUCCCCGGGUAGCAUUCCGGCAAUAGCACCUCGCCAGGAGGGGACGCAGCUCCCAACUCCCCACUCGUGUUGAAACGCCAUCACCGCACCAUCACGUGCGGAGAUCCUCCCGUGCGCUACCUCACCUCACCUCACCUCGUCGGGCUGAUCUGAACUGAACUGAACUGACCUCAUACACACGGAACUUACUUGCUUUUUCCGUCCUGCCGCCCCUGCUGCUGCUGCCCCUGCUACUGCUGCUGCCUCUGCUGCUGCUGCCCCUGCUGCUGCUGCCCCUGCUGCUGCUGCAGGGGAUUUAUAUCGGGAGGGCGCGGAACGGCUGCGCACCUUCAUGGCCGUGUUGCCUGAGCUCGCGGACCAGGAGGCGGUCCUCGGGGCGCUGCUCAGCUCCAACCCCGAACUGGUCAUGGCGGAUCCACAGGAGGUACGGCACCGCCGUACUAAAGCAGCCGUACACUAACUUUUACUGACAAACUCUUGACGUUGCUUUCCGCAUCUGUUCGUGUCUGUCUGUGUGUAUAUCUGUGUGUGUAUAUCCCACUAGACGCAUACUACGACUGCUGUUUCUGAAACAUGCACUGAAGCAUAUCAUACGUCAUGAUUGCGAUGUGUGUGUCUUUUCGCCGCGUGACGGCUUGUUUUUACGCUGCGUGAUGCGAUUUGGGUUCGGUUGGUUACUUUGGGGGCCCUUAUUUGACCGUACGACGUAGGUACGGCAGCAGCUUGAGGGGCUGGCGGCGGCGUUGGACGUGUCAUUACCGCGUGUUGCCCGCCUGGCGUCCCGUGUGCCGGCGGUGUGGGAGCGGCCCCCGGAGGAGGCGGCCGGCAGGGUGCGCGAUAUGGCUUCGGAGCUCGGAGUGGGCCUGGACGCGGCGCUGGAUCUGUACUGCAGCCAGCCCGGGAUGUGGGCGGUCAACCACCCUAGCAUCAUCAAGGACAGGUGGGUAUGUACGACACGAGCUGAGCUGCGGGUGGUUACAGUCGCGACGGGGGGGGGAUAAGCGACCCGGGGGUUUAUGUCACACGAUCAUCCUUACUGUUGCAAGUGGCGGGUGGAGUGUGGACCAGAGGUUUCCAGGGGUUGUGUGUAUGUAUGUGUGUAUGUGUGAAGGCCUUGUAUGUGCGUAUGUAUGUGUUUCACAUGAUAACUUUACGAACCGUGUAUGGCCUCAUGCCGGCAAAGCUUCGUUUCACCAAACAUCAGCCCUCCCCCUCCUCCUACCCCUCCAAGUCUCCCCCCCGGGUUUUCCUGGCCCCCAGGCUGGACGUCCUGGCCACCAAGCUGGGGGUACCCCUGGUCGACCUGGUGGGCCUGGUCGGCCGUCAGGCGCUGCUGUGGGCGGUGCCACCACCCCACGUAGCCGUUACCGUGGGGGACGUCGCCGCGGGCUUGGGGCUGACGGCGGCAGAGGCGACGGAGCUGGUGGCGCGGGUGCCGCCGGUGGUGGCGGUGGAGAAGCGGCUGAUGCGUCUGGGCGUGCAAGGUGCAACAGGGGCGGGUAUAGCGUGGGUUAGUUGGGUUAGUUGGGUUAGUUAGUUAGUUAGCUGGUACAUUGAGAUCAGUUUUGGUCAGGCUCGGGAAACUGCCAAGAAGCCAAAGGGCCGUGAUCACCCGUGUCACAUGACGCGCAAACAUCAUGUCAUCAUCAAGUGCAUGCGCUGGGGUGGGUUUUACUAUUUGUCGUACGAACACGAACCGGUCUCGCGCCACCACGUCUGGCUAUUGACGUACGACAUCAGUCAUCACCGCAACUGGCCACCGCCACCACCACCGUCUACUAUCCACGUGACAUACAUACACACACUUCUUCGGCGUCUGCCGUACACCAUACAUAUCUUACACCGUACAGACAUGCAUAUAUGUAUGCACAUGUGAGUACUUAUUGCCUGACCGGACUGCUCCGACCGCAUCUCACCUGCCGUCAGGUGUAUCUGCCACCACGGGUGUGUCGGUGGCCUCACUGCUCGAACUGCUGCCUCGCAGCCUGGGCUUGGUUUCGGUGCCCACUGAGUUGCUGGCUUCCUCCCUGGAGAAGUUGGCGGCGGACCUGGGCUGCAGGCCCGAGGACAUUGUGAUGCUGAUGACCAAACAGCCCACGUUGCUGUGCGCGCAGGUAUGUAUGUAUGUAUGUCGUUACAGGGUGGUAUAGCUUCACCAGCGGCCCCCUUUCCAUUGGAGGCAGUUCCCUGCUCUCCCCUGCGAGAGGGGCACCCUAAUCCGUUUACCCCAUCCGACUUCGGAAUGUAUUCGUUGGGUUCGGCAACUCACCACCAGCAUCCAACCAAAUCUAGCGGAUCAACGGCGCAUCAACUUAGUUCCUGGUCAGCUCGCAAGUUGAUAUUAUCACGUCCUACACCGUCCAUAAGAUGGGGGGCCACCUCCCAAUUUAACACCCCUCCCACACCGAGGGGUCGCCAGGCGGAUUUGAACCCGGACACUCCGGGAGCAGAAGUCAGGCCUUAACCUCUGCCAGCCACCUGCCUGUAUGUAUGUAUGUAUGUGUGUGCAUCUAUGUAAUGUCCUCUCCUUAUGCGGACAGUCCGUAUGUCUGUCUGUUGAUUGCUCAGACGCGCUCACUGUGUAUGGCACAUUUCCCCCCUCUCCCCGCACCUCGUCGCGUGCCAAACCCACUCACCGACCCCUGCUCUCCCCGCCAUCCCCGCCCAUGCAUCUACCGUACACGGCAGUACGGCACCAUCCAAGCGGCGCUGGAGGUUUUGGAGCUGGGUCUCGGCGUGGAUCGUUCCGCCGCGCUGGCGGUGCUGGCGGCGCAGCCGCUGCUCAUGUACGACACCACCGCCGACACUCUUGCGUCCCGUCUGGCGGCUCUGGGCGACACCUUUAAAUUGGGGCCUGACAGCGCGCGGCAGCUGGCGGCGGCGCAGCCCGCGCUGCUCGUGGUAUCCCCCGCGACGUUGCGCUCCGCAGUGAGCCUGUUGGCGGCCUCCACCGGCAGCUCGUUGGCGGAGUGUUUGGAGCUGGCUAAGAGCGAUCCCGGGUCGCUCAUACUGGUGACCCUGCAGGUGGGUCGGGCGGGUAGGGGGCAUGAAGCUCGCGCCACGGUAAUGACACGCACGACUCCCACCACGCAUGGCCCCCAACCCCCCUCUCCGGGCGUUUACCCCACAUCAUAUCUCCCGUACACUUGUGUGUGUACGAAACUCGUAAUUUGACCUGACCCCGCCCCACCUGACCCCGCCCCGCCCCGCCCCGCCCCACGCGGCCUCAGGACUCCCUUUUGGAGGCAUGGUCCGCGAGGUUGGGUCUGCCCGCGGAGGCGGUUUCGGCGAUGUUGGCGGCUCAGCCGGCGCUGCUUGAGCUGACGCCGACCACCGUCAAGGCGCGGCUGGAGUCCCUGGCGGCGCUGUUCGCGGUUCCGUUGGGCAUCGCGGCGCAGCUGGCGCUCAAACACGCGGCGCUGGCGGCGGUGCCGCCCAACGCCACCAUCACCCGCGCCAAGAACAUCUCCACGGCCCUCAAGAUCUCCAUGCAGGCAGGUGGCGGUCCGGUCUGGUCCGGUCCGGUCUGAGGCGAUUUCCAAGGGGGAUGGAAUAGAGAGGGGGAAAGAAAUGAUGUGGGUUGAUUACCUCCCUCGCUCUCUCUGUCUCCCCUCUCUCUCUCACACACGCGCGAACGCACAUACAUGGUGACGUCCGUGGUGCGGGUGACGUUUGUGGUGCAGGUGACGUCCGUGAUGCAGGUGACGUCCGUGGUGCGGGUGACGUCCGUGGUGCAGAUUAGAUCCGUGAUGCGGGUGACGUCCGUGNNNNNNNNNNNNNNNNNNNNNNNNNNNNNNNNNNNNNNNNNNNNNNNNNNNNNNNNNNNNNNNNNNNNNNNNNNNNNNNNNNNNNNNNNNNNNNNNNNNNNNNNNNNNNNNNNNGGGGAGGGGAGGGGAGGGGGCCACCAGGAGGAACUUAUCAUCCGCAUCCGCAAAUCCCGCUGUUGCCACGUACCUUGCGGAUGUGCACAGGGUGCCGCCAAUAUCAUCGCCAAGGAGCCGGCCAUGCUUGCCGUACUGGCGUACGGCGCCGCGGAGCUGCGCGGCUCCGGCGUGGCGGAUGACGUGGGCGAGGUUGGCGCCGCGUACGAGUUCUACACCGUGGAUUGGCUGCAGCGGCAGCUGAAGGAGGUGCAGCCAGCUCGGGUCACCAGCUUCGCAGCCCUGGACUCUUAGGUAGCACCGUCCCGCGCAUCGCAUCAUCAUCAUCAUCAUCAUCCCGUAGCACAGCUCGGAAUGCGAAUGAAACUGCCGCUGCCCUGCGGCUUUGGCUGCGGCAUAUGCGUUACGUGAGGUGGUGUGGCUGGCGGCUAGGUGUGGGCGUGUGUGCUGUUGUUUGUCUUGGGUCCCGCUGCAGCACGUCGUUGCGUUACGUUUAUGAUAUAUGCUGAAGCUCUCAUAUACUCUCAGCUCGGCACGCUACGACCUCGUUAUAGAGGUGGUGUGUAGUCCCGGGAGUCCACCCUUCCCGGAGGAGGAGGAGGAGGGAGAGGGGAAGGAGGAGGAGGUUUUAAGGGAGGAGGAGGAGGAGAGGGAGGCGGAGGAAGGAGGGGGAGGAGGUCCCCUGUCUGCCCGCCCUAUAGAACAGUCAGCCGGCAGGGAGCCAAUGCGGGUGUGUGUGUGGGGGGGGGGGCGACAGAGGUGCUGGUGGUGCUGGCGCCAGUGCGCAGUGAGGGCUGCAUGGGCAGUAAAACCCUAAAGGAACGUUUCCACCAAUACUUCCCCAAACAACGGCACAGCAUAGCUGUACAAUGCUUCCGCCUUCUCCCCCCCCUCCCGCCCUCCGCCUCAGCAUAUGUUCGGGUUUAGGCAAGUAUGCCAAAAUCUCCAAAUUGUAGCUAAACGCAGGUAUAUAAUCGCAGAGGUCGAUUAUCAACACGUAUCUGCCCAGCUCGCAGCCUGGCAUGAACCGUCCAGGGGUGAAUUGCGUAUUAGGCCCGGCUGGUCCUCAACACCUAAGAGGACCCCCGCGCUUCGUACUCUGUUUAUGGGUGUGAUUCGCGGACUUUGCUGGCUUUGAUGACGCAUGACAGAGCAUGUGACUGCAGCGACGGGGAAUGCGAUUGUUACAGUGGACCCCGAACGGGUGGAGUGCAGCGCCCCUGCAGCGACAGGGGGAACAGUGAGACAAGUAAGGACGUCAUGGAUACGGCCGCCGACCUGCGCUUUCACCAAAGGCCCUCAGAGGAACCUGCAAUUCCGUCUCACAUACAGCUGCUUGCAGUUGUUGAGAUGUUGCUCUCGGUGUUGCUCCUUUGCAGCUGUUCAGAUCCCAUAAUGCUUCAUUUUUUAAGGCGCCGAAAUUGCUUUUUUGAUGGAGACCUUCCAUUCCGAAAUUUUGUGUAGGUGGCCGAUGUGGCGUUUCGGGCAGGUGUGGCUUCAACAGACGUUUACUUUGAUAGUCGAGUCUGUUGGCAGCGUCUGCUCCGUUGUUCGGGUUGUUGUUGUUGUUGUUCCUGUCGCUCGGUCAAACUCCCCCACGGCAUAAAUUGUAAAGGUCAAUAUCAAAUAUAAAAGGUCAAACGGAUAAAAUAUUGCGGGCCAGCGCAAGCCUGCCCCGGACCGCCAAGCACACCAAGCCCGGACUUCCAAGUCUAACCUCUCCCUCUCAUAGGUUUAGCUUAAGCAUGGAAUAACUUGCCUUCUAAAUCCGCUACUCUCUCCAUUUUAUUUCCCCCCCCCCAAAGGAGCAGCCCGCUCACCCAAAUCGUGCAGCGGACAUGCAGCCUACACGCGGACAUGCACCGACACGCGCACACGCACACUGAAAUUGUUGACGCAGCCUCAACCUCCCCCUCCGCCGCCGCUGCCUCUCCUUUUCCCCCCCCCGGGAAAACCUUGCUAUCGCCGCUUGUUUGUGACACUAGCAAUACAUGUAAAAAAAAUCUCAAGCUCACCGACACCGUGCAACACACUACACCUCUCUCUCCGCACACACACACACACGCACCGCAAAUUCUACCCUCGUCUGGCAAAAUGAUUAGCGCAGAGGCUCUCUCCGCGCGUGCGUGCUCAUUCGCCCGCCAAGACACCGUUAUGGGGCCCCGGAGGACUGCCCGCCCGCCCCACCCUUGCUCUAAAGCCAGAUUGCGAAUUUGUCCCCGCUUUACACCCAAAAAGCACGCGUGGCCAAAACACACUUCCCCCUCCUCCUUCCUCCUGAAGCGCUUGGCCCUCACCUUUGAAGGCUCCCUCUCCCUCUCCCUCAAUUCUUCCUCUCCCGCUCCUUCUCCUGGCAUUCCACUCCACACCACAUAGGGGACUGAUUAGCCCCCUCCGUCCGCUCCAAAACCCAAACACCUCCCACACAACGCCCCACCCCGCCACAUAAUAUCCGCAAAACCUCCGGCCCACUUUUCGCUUAUGUACAUUAAGCCCCAGCAGGAUUCAGUCAGCAAGAAAAUAAAAAACGUGGUCGCGAAAAGAAGUCAAAAGGGAUGUGGGAAUAGCGUGCAUGCGGCCGAAGCCCUGUGUGUGUUUGCGCGGGAGACAUGGACGACGAGUGAGAACAGGGGUGGGAUGUGAGAACAGGACCAUUCAAAUGGCACUGCCGCCGCCGCCGUAGCCGCCGUCCUCCUCGUCGUAUUCUCGCCGUCGGCUUCAUCGGGCUGGCGCGGCGGUCUGUUGCACUUCUAAUGCCGCCAUUGCGACGCUGACGGCGGUGGCGGCGGCCGCGCUGGCACGUGCAGCAGUAGCUGCGUCGGCGUCGGCGUCAGCGGCGGUCUGCGGCUCGUUGUCUAGACGGCGCAGCAAGUACAUCACCUCGACGUCCUUGGUCAACGGCAUCACAAUGUCCUCGUACACACGCGCCACCAGCUCCGGUGAAACCUUCAAGCGGGGCCCCGCUGCUCACAAGUGCCGGGAGGAGCGUGUCGUGUCGGGAAGGGGAGGAGCGUGUCGAGAAGGGGAACCAAGAGAAGGUAGGGCAGGGAAGGCAGGGUAGCGGAAUCAAAGGGGAUAUGCCGUACAUGUCAUUUUGUCACAGGGCCACCGCCGACUGGAGGGUGGGAGGCGGGGCGGGGCGGAAGGGAGGUGUGUAACACAAGGUAAGGAGCGGAAGUGCCGCUUCUUAUGUGCCUGCCAGGGAAGCCAGAAUCUCAAAAAGUUUAACUAUUUUUAAAAACAAAUAUUAGUUUUUAUCAGCAAUUACUUAGUCAAGUCGGUUAUCGGACGUUUGCAGCCCCCCCCAGCUCCCCGCCUCAACAGCAAAUUAAGGGAGGGGGGAGCUGGGGGAGGGGGAAAUGAUCGCGGAGGAGGAGGAAGGAGAUCUUUAUGGCUGUGGGAGAUCUUUCCCCCUUCCCACCUUCCGCGUCCCCGCCCCCGCCGUUAGAUCCCCCGGCCGGCGGCAGCGCCCCAUUCUCCGUGAUGUCCAGACCGAAGGUGGCGGCCUUCCGCCGUACACGUUCCACCACGCGGCGCUCCACCUCCCUGGAACACAUCAUACACACAUACAUACAUAUAUGGCGGCUGGCAGAGGUUAAGGCCUGACUUCUGCUCCCGGCCGACCCGGGUUCAAAUCCGCCUGCCGGCUCCUCGGGUGUUUGAGGAGUGUUGAAAUGGGAGGUGGCCCCCCAUCAUAUGGACGAUGUAGGACGUGAUAAAAUCAACUUGCGAGCUGACCAGGAACUAAGUUGAGGCGCCGUUGAUCCGCUAGAUUUGGUUGGAUGCUGGUGGUGAGUUGCCGAACCCAACGAAUACAUUCUGAAGUCGGAUGGGGUGACGGAUUAGGGUGCCCCUCUAGCAGGGGAGAGCAGGGACUGCCCCGGGAAAGGGGCCGCUGGCGAAAUUAACCACCCUGUAACAACAUAUACACAUCCACCCUGUAACAACAUACAUACAUACGUACAUAUGAAUAUAUCCUCUCAGCUCACUUUCCCCCGCUGCUGAGUUCAUCCCAACAGAAUUCCCAGUUCUACACACAUAAGCGGAACGGGUGAACUGGCGGCAAGGAGUCCCACUGCACUACACAGGCAGACGGGGGGAGCCCCCGAGGAAGCAUGUGCAAGUGUAAAGGCACGCAAAACACGACACACAACUAUCCGAUAAUCCGUUGGAAGCUCAAGUUGUGUAUCUGUGUCUCUCGUGUUGUUGUUCUCCCGGUAAGCCUGCCAAGACACGGCCGUACUGCCACCCCGCACUGGGGGCCCCACACCCGCCUGUCCGUCAGGAGCUCCAUAAUGCCGUCCGCAUCCCCCGCACGGAUGAGCGCGCCGUACUCCUCGGGUUUGGAGCUGAGCGGGGGCAGAACGCAUGGAGGAGCGAGGGCGGGGUGGAGCGGGGUGGGGGAACAGGGGGGGGAGGACGAACCACAAACGAGUGAAGCUGCUGCCAGGGCAAGAGUGUACCAGACGUAGAACUGACCGAAGGGCGUCCGUGAAGACGGCGACCUCGCGAACAGGGGGGGGGGUAAUAAUCCUCCGUUAUAAUACACAGCACUAUCAAAAGACGGGAAAUCCACUGCCGGCUGACGUCCAUCAAAGAUGUGGGGAGGAGGAGCUGCUACUGCUCCCCCCUUGGUGAACUUCAUUGAUCUAGUACUGCCACCCAAACAGCUGUUUGUUGGAACUGUUGGCUGCCCCACCCCCACCCCCAGAGGUCAUGUGUGACGUAGAGCCGUCCUCAGCGCGAUGGGAAUGAUGUCCCUCGGAGCUGUUGUUGCGUGUGUCGUGCAAGGUUGUAUAUUGCUGCUGCUGCUGCCGAAGAAAUGUCGUACUAGUAAAAGUCGUAACAUCGUGAAAAGGAGUUGUGUAAACCCCGAUCAUCAUCCAGGACUAAAACUUGCCCCCACUCCCACCACACGGCCGCACCCCUCUUCCCUCCGCAAGCCCCCCCUUCGCCUUCGCCUUCCCCUCCCAAACCCCAACACACACAACCCCCACUUACAGAAAUUUUGCUUCUGCUACAAAUUUGCCGAAGUGUAUCCGUUUGGACAGCGCCUGGCGGGGUUGUCAUCCAGUCGGGGGGUGUCGUGAGCACAGCGACCCGCCCACGUGUGCGUGUAUUGCAACAGUGUUGAUGAUGCUGAUGUUGAUGCUGAUGUUGAUGCUGAUGAUGUUGGUGAUAAUGGUGAUGACGAUGCUGAUGAUGGUGGUGGUUAGGUGUCCGGGCAGCAGGCUGGUGGGCGCCUGAGCGGUGCGGCUCCACGCGGGGGGGAGGGGCUCGCCCCGCACCACCCGCCGCGGUGCCGCUGUGUCGCGCUUGCGCCAUUCCGCAACACGUGUGUUUCCAGAGCUACAAUCCGGCUGCUCCCCUCCUCCCCACCCCACCCCGCCAAAGGGUGGCGGGGCGGGGGCACUGCUCCACUACCCAAUAUAUCUUUUGUCUCCCUCCUCCUGUCUUUUCGUAGUGCCUUUUCCCAUAUCACAGCUUUUGUACACAUACACAUACACAUACACAGCACGUUCCGGGGUACACGGAUUUCCCUCCCCCCCGCCACCCUCCUCCCCUCCACAACCCCCCCCAACACACACACACAUGAGCACACCUGCAAGCACGUGACGUCCAAGGUGGCCGAGCUGCCGUAGUUGAAGUCAUCCCCCGGCGCUGUAAGGCCUGGCGGGUCGGCAUGUCGUGCAUCGUGGGAAACUCAUUGUACGGACACACUUGGAUAAAUUCAUCAUGGGGAAUAUACGGCAUGUACGGGAUAAUGAUGACAUAUGUCAGGCACAUGAGUCUCGUAAAAGGGAAGUACUUCGGUUUCAUGUAUGCAUCAUGAACGCAAAGCGGCCGGUCAGCGUGUUGUGCGAUUAUGAUGGUGGGUGUCCGGGGAAACCGCGAGCGGCUACUGCCGCCGCCAUUGCUGCUACUGUUGCCGCUACUGCCGCUGCCGCCAGCCCUGCUCGCGCCGUUGCUGCUGCCGCUGCUACCCCUACUGCCGCUACUGCCGCUGCUAACCCUACUGCCGCUACUGUUGCCGCUGCUGUGUAGAGAAAACAUAAAAAGAAACAAGGGCCCAAUCCAUGGAUGCAUCCUUGGCAGCCGUGAUGAUAUGUAGCACCCAUUGUGGUGCGUCGUCGUCGUCAUGUGUGUACAGCUGCGUGCAGCAGUGGUGAUGGCUGCUCCACGGGGGGUGUAGCUCCCCCUCCCCCCUUUACACACGCCCAACACCAAUACUCGCCGGCUGACAGCCGCUACCUUCCCGCCGCCGCAACGAAACAAAAGUACCCACACACACGCACCCCAUCCGUACACACACACAGCCAGUAAAACCCUCAACCCGCAAACCCUCUCCCACGGCCCACCCGGCAAUAUGUCGUCCACGUAGAUUCUUAGAAUCCGGUCAUUAAUGUUGAUCACGUCCGCACAGGAAUGCAGUACGGAGGGGUAGGUGAUGGGCGGGAGCACCAAGGGCGGCAACUCAUCUAGGGAGUUGGGAAGUUGACAGUUGGGGGUUAGGGAAUGGGCAGUUAGAGGUUGGCAAUGAGGUGAGUGAGUACAGGCGUAGUAUAAGUGUCAACAGGCGACAACAUCACAAAUGGCGCCACAGUAGAUCGUCAUGGUCGUGGCCCUCCUGUCCUAGAAUUGGUGUUGUACGACAUGUGACUGUGACAUUGCGCCUGAUUAGGUCAGAGCACCGAGACACUGUUGGAUGUUGCACACCUGUCUGUCUGUCUGUCUGUCUGCCUAGUGAGGACACCUCACCUCAUUAGGCGGGCAGACAGGGAAGCUGUCGCCAGGGGCCGCUGGGGCGGUCCUUCCCGCCAACGGCCCGCCGCCACCUUCCACAUCUUCCCUCCCCCAAAAUACACGUCCGCGCACACAUACAUACAUAUAUAAAUACAUACAUGUAUGUAUAUAUACAUACAUGUACACACACCGAGGGCAAAGCCAGGCUGCUCUCCGAACCUGGGAAAAACGCAUGUUCAUCUGGCGACGUGUACCGCCGUACACUGCCGUGCAGCUGCUCGGUCUCCCGCAACACGUACUCAAGAAGCGAGUAACGCCGCCCGCAGCGGUCAAACCCUUCGGAACGGGACGGGACGGUAAUGGGACGAGCGAACGGAAAAGGAAAUGGACAACAGAGGUGAGGUGGUUCAGUUGGUUGAACUUAGUUGGUGGAAACAGCUGCAGCGGAGCGGUCUCAUCGAUGGGUCGCUUGUUUGAGUCGGCCUGGGGAGAAAUGAUGUGGCGUUAUUUGUUUGAUCGAAAGUGGUCAAAGAUGUUCAGUUCUGUCACCCGAAAUCUCACUGAGAUCCCAAAUAGGUGCUAGGUCAAUGUAAAGAAAGGUCGGGUAGGGUAGGGUAGAGUAGGGUAGAGUAGGGUGGGGUAGGGUAGAGUAGGGUGGGGUAGGGUAGGGUGGGGUAGGAAUAUGGGUGCACGAAGGAGUAGGGGCUUGGCGCGGGGCUUUAGUGCUGGUGGGAUCUCCCAGUGAGGGCUUUAGGGUUGCCGUGUUGGGGAGGGUUCCCUCCUACACCUAAGCUUUAAAAGAGCAGCAGGCACAGCGGGGACGCGCUUCCGCAGGGGCCCCAACAGUCACAUGGGUCACCACACAAGGGUCACGGCUUCUGGUAGGCGGCUAGCUUCUCGUAGGUCGUCGCUUACCCGGCACAGGUAUGGCGUCCGGUGUGUAGACUGGCAAGUUUCUGGCAAACUGUGCACGCUCGAUAAAGCUGAAAAUGAUUGUGUCUUCCUGCCGGAUGAGCGAGCUCCGUAUGUUUGCCAGCGAUAACGCUGAACUCAUAUCGCGCGCGUUUGCCGCUGCUGAAGCUAGGAUGGGGAUCUGCAACAAGGCGGUGAUGGAAGUGGGAUUCGGCACUUGUGAGCACGAAGGCUCUGCAUUACCCGACGAACAGAUUCUAGUCAGCCAUGGCUGUCUUGCCGUUGGCAAUCAAGCGCAUGGAUGAAGCGCAAAAAUGGGGAGAGUACCUAGACCGCAGACCUUUUUCGUAGAAGAACGACGCCGUCGAGCUUUACUUUGCUCACUGGGUGCCCAACCACCGCGCCACAAGUUUCUCUGGAAUGUUUGCAUCAUGCUUUGCAGAGCAUCGAACCACUUUAGCGACCUGGCAAACGACCUGACAAGCAAACCUCCAAGCAAUUAAAUGCUAGCUAAAUACCCUAUGAAAAGCAAAUAUAUGGUACCUAUGGCACGCUACGUCUUGCAGCAAAAAAAAUUCUUCACAAUACAACGCAGCGCAUCAAUGCGUUUGACCCUCGAUUUAUGGCAACUAUGAAAUCUAAUACGCCACGCCAGCAGUGAUUGGCCUCAACCAUUGUAGCGACACAAGCAAAUUCGAUGUUGUCUGCAAAAUAUAAGGCCCGUUGGCGAAAAGAGGGUAUGCCCUUCUGCACCCAGUUAGAUGCACCCGACCGAGUCUUUAGAGUCCUGAGAAUUCACUUAUCAUCCCUUUAACCAAGCAGCUCCCAUUCCGUUGCGUCCAAGCAUACCAGCUUUCCGUACAUUAACGGUAAAUUCAGUUGACUGAAGGCCUGACGUGGCAGAAUCCUUACUCUUACCCAUGUAACGCCUGCAUUGUAGUUUAUUAUCUGUGAUGCGCGAUCCAUUACAUGUGCACUGAAUAUAAGGGUCACGCCGAGCACCCUACCGCCUCCUAAACAAACUAUUAUCUUAAGCGUAACGGUCGUCAAAAAGCAAUGGCGACAACGAGCAGCCUACAAGUGCAAGAGAAAAUAUGUCGUUACAGAAAGAAUUGCAGGGCGCUUUCUCUGGGGUCCAAUCGGUAUGUUCGGGCCUGGGUCCCCCGGACUGGCUUUCAAGCCUGCUUAGCGUCUGAAGCUGCUCAUGGUCCACUCAAUGUAUGCCAUGUAAGUCCAGUUAAAUAAUUGUGUGGUAUCUUGUCUUGACUAAGUUUCCUUACAUCAUAUGUCGUUAAGUGUUCCACUUAGCUGCAUUUCAACUGACCCAUAUGAUCCAUGAGUGCUUUGAACCUUACAAUUCGGACUUUACCAAUCUAAACUGGGGUUGCACCUAGUAAGCGACUCUGUGAGUCCUAACAAACACGAUGCGCGCUGUAGCUGACUCGGCAAAUCGCCGGCAUGCGUCAGCACAGCGAAACAAAACGUUGCAGUCCCGUUCCAUCCACCAAACAAAAUCUUACGCAUCUGCUCUUCGGCACGCCCCACAUCUCAAUCGACCUAUCCGCUUUCGGUCGUCCCACCCAAAUCUUCUUUCAGACCUCUGAUAUCUCUCCCGCACUCACAUACCACCCGGUGCGCUAUCACCCUCGCCUUUCCAGACAGGCCCCUCCCACCCCUCCCCAACCGCGCUCCUCCUACACAAUUCUAUUUCACCAACUCUCUGUUGCUCCGCUGUAACUCUUUAAGUCACAAGUUCCUCAUAAGUGCGAGGCCCGUAUAUAAGCUAUAAAAGCCGGAGGGGGGCCAUGGAUGGAUGCGACCCUAAAACCAUCUAACCCCCCAAGGUGCAUGAAGCCGUAACGUAGCGCAACCGGCCCCACCCCCCACCCCCCACCCCCCGCUCCCCGUUCCUCAACGCCUACGGUCAUGCAGACCUGCGGAACAACGAAACGCACCGCCGCCGAUCGUGGCAACGGCGGCGGCGGGGGCUGCGGCCGAGCGCCGCUGCACCACCUCGCCCGCCGCCGCCGCCUGCCCACCUGCACCGCUGCCGCCGCUGCCGGCGUCUCUUCCGGCUCCAUCGACAGCGACUGGAAGUGGCACGAGCCUAUUUUGGACGGCUCCUUGUCCGGCUCCGACCGAGCGGUGCUGGCGCUGGCGCGAGCCGCCGCCGCCCUGGCGGAUAAGAGCCUGGUAGGAUGAAGCUCCUCCACGCACACAUACAGACUGACUGACAGAUGCACAUACAAGCAUAUGUACAUACGCAUAUAUACAUAUACAUAGACACACGUAUACACAUACACACAUCGACACACGUACACGCACUUCCUAUUGAGCGCCCCCAACCACUUUGCGUACGCUCCAAACACAACACAGUUUGUGGGUCCGCUCUUGGCAACAGCAGCAACAGCAGCAAGACGAUACAUCCAUCCGCACGCCUGUCUGUCUGUCUGUCUGUCUGCCUGUGUCUAUGUUAUUCUGCCACCCUGUUAAGCGAUACCUCUUAUCAUACCUAAAGACCUAAACCCCCCCCCGGGUGUUACCCCCCCCCGCGGGGGGGCCCCACCUGCAUGUGUGCUCGUAACCUCACCGUUUGUCGGUUGCAUGUACGGGGUACGACAUGUGGCUCCUGGCACGACAUCAUGCUGUGUGUGUAUGCAUGUUUGUCUGUAUGGGUUAUACCCAUACACCAGGCACACCAGGCUGCCACAGCUCACGGUCUGGCCGUAGUGACGAGCUCGGACGAGUGCGUGGGGCCGCUGCUGCCGCCCUUCGGCUCCACCCUGGAAGAUGACGGCGAGGAGGGGGAUGGCAUGGCGCCGCCGCCACCGCCUUCCGCCAGAGAGGCCGUACGGCGGGAGGUACGGCGGGGGAUGUACGAAAGAUAUGGAUAAUGAUGGGGGGGGAGGUAGGGAGGUCUACGGGGAGAGGUAACAUACCAUCAUGUCGAAGUUUAUCAACAAUUACUGAACACAGCAAAGACUGGUAGGGGCUGUUGUGGGGAUUAGGGGCGGAUGUAUUGGUCGGGGGGGAAAGAACCAAAGGGACCGAGUGUACGUGAGUGUACGGCAAACGACCCACAGGACGUGUGUGGUAACCCGGGGAUGUAACCGAGGGGUGAGAGAAAGCACUACCGGCCUGCUGUACAUGUGUACGGCAUCGGAGGGAUGCUACACCUCACAUCUCGCACAGCCUCCGUGCUCCUUCCCCCUCUCCCUCUCCCCCCAACCCCCCACAUACCCGUACAGCUUUUCGCUGCUCGUUGCCGCUUUGCCUUCCCUGGUCAUCGUUGGUCGUCACUCGUUGAUGGCUGUGUAUUUGACUUUCGCGUCACAUGGUUUCCCCUCCCUACCUCGUCACCCCCUGGACCCGACAGGUCGGGGGUGGCGGCGGCGGCAAGAUGACCUCCGGGAUGGCGGGCGCCGCCAGCUCCUGGCUAAGUACGGUAUUCCCUUCCUCCGCUGGUGCCGCCGCUGCCGCCGCGGCCUCUGGGAUUGUACGAGGGUCCAGGACUGCCCCGGCUGGGGCAGCGGAAGCAGCUACGACGGCUCGGUCAUCGCCGUCGGUGUCACCAGCGUCACAAACGAUGGCGGCGGGGGCGGUGGCGGCGGCGGGGACGCGGCGUGUUGCGCCGCCGCCGGAUGUACAGCUCCGGAACCUGGCGCUGGUGGUCGCGGAGGGCGGCGGCGGCGAUGAGGACGAGGGCGAGGACGACGACGUACGGCAGGCAUUUGCAAACCUUACCUCCGGUGGUGCGAUCGGCGGGCGCGGCGGUGGAGAGGGAGCGGGGGGGAUGAUGGGGGCGGCGGCGGCGGCGCUGACUCGCGUUGCGCGGGCGGCUGCUGCGUCGGCGGCGGACGUGCCGUCGGCGGCGCCGAUUGGCCGAGCGGCGGCGGGCGCCGCCAGCGCUGCGGCGCAUGCGGCUCAUGCGGCUGUGGCUACGGCAGUGAAGGCUACUGCCCAGGUGAUUCUCGUACCCCUCCUUUUGUCCUCUCCUACUCGCCUUGUACUCCACCCCACUCUACCCCCAAAACAAUUUUUAUUCAAUUUUUUUCUUGAUUUCUUCUUGAUUUUUCCUUGUUUUUUUCUUGAUUUGCAAUUAAUUUUUAAUUGUUGCAUGGUGGUGAGGGUAGUGUGGUUGCCGGAACGGAGCGCCAUGCAAGGCCAGCAAGGUAGGGUUCACACAAGUCGAGGACAUAGACAGACAUGGGGAACAACAGCUAACUGGUCGACACACUGUUCAUCCCACCCCACCUCACCCCCACCCGCCCUGCUCCCGCCCUGCUCACUCGGGCCGCAGAUGCUUCCCAGCUACGGGGAGCCCACCUCUAGCUGGCUAGUGGCGGACGACACGGCGGGCGGCGUGCGUUACAUCGUCAUUGCGGCCGGCCCCGACUUGCGCCGCCGCACGCCGCGCGAGCUGACGACUGACCUGGUCAGCUUCGAGACGUACAACCUUGGCGCCAAAGUCAACAAGUGGGUUCUGUGUCGAUGGCGAAGGAUAUUUAAAUUUUUUUAAAUCUGUUUGAAUUUAUAUAUAUAUAUAUAUAAAUUCUUCUUAUAAAACUUUUAAAUGGUGGACAACCAAUUUCGCAGAUUCUGUUUUGUUUCAUCUCGCUGGGAAACACUUAGCAGCGAUUUCGGAUAACGCGAGAUUCCGUGGAUUUUCCCGUGGGGGCUCUUAGCUAUUCGCGGCAGGGGAGGACAAUGCCGCCCUCUCCUCGACAGAUCAGAGGCAGAGGCCUAAAGAGGCCAAAAUAUCUAGAUGGCCCGUUCGAGGUCUCUCUUGUCCACUCCCUACAUAUAUAAACAAGGCCGCCAAGUAGGGCGAACUGAAGCCCCCAAUUGUACACCUGUGGGUUCAUUAACGAACUGAGAGCCGCGAGAAGGAAUAGCCCCCGUGAAUGUGCCGUGUGUCUGUGUGUCUGUCUGUAUGGAUGAUGACCUGUUUCCCCGGCAAUUAAGGGAAAGGGGACCCUACCACAGGGUAGGCUGCAGUAGUACGGAGCUCGUUCCGUCUCGAAAUGCCGAAGUUACCCGGAGGGGAAUGCCGAAUGCUCCCCAUCCCCACUACUACCGCGCAGGCGACUGUACGGCGAGGCGUCUGCACUGUACGGCCGAUUCAUGCCGUUGGUUAUGGACUACUUGGAGGCCGUACCGCACGGCAAUAUUUGCUUCGGGGGACAGGUGAGCCGUGUGUGUGUGUUUUGGGGGAAGGGGGAGGUUUUUGCGAGAGCUGCCUGACCUGGGCUGGGUACGGCAGGGUACGGCAACCAUGUAAGUUUGCCAGAAGACAUUGUUGUUCGAACAGCCCAACUGGUCUUGAACGAAGGUUGUUGCUGCUGCUGCUGCUGUUGCUGCUGCAUUUGUUUUAUUGCUCAACACUGAUCUACUCCAGUCCACAUCAUCAGGCGGUAGUUGUGUUGGUUAAGGCCAGAGCUUGGAUCCUGUUGGUUGACAUUCUCGUGACUGGAUCCACGUGAUGAGCGCGAGGUCAUACCUUUCCGUACAUACACACACAUACCCGUCCUUACAAGUGUCUUCCACACUGGACCGAACCCCCAACCGACCUCCUAACCAACCCCCAACCAAUUCCUCCCCACUACCUCCCAACCCAAUAUUCCAAUUCCCAACCCAACCUCCCUCCGUACAGGGUGUGGGUGGCGCCCUGGCAGUGCUGCUACAGCUCAUGUGCACGCAUCGGGGCCUCCGUUUCGCCCGACUACUGCCGGCAGUGGCGGUUGACGCCCCUGCGGUGCUGGCCCAGGUGCCCAGGGAGCAGCGGCGGUUGUGGGGGCCCGCAGGCCGGGAGCAGCAGCGGCCGCUAUCGCAGGUACGGCGGUUUGCGGUUGGCAGUUGGGAGUUGGCAGUUGAGAUUUGGCUGCGGAUUUUGGUAUGUCUCUGGAGGGACCCUUGCAAGAGCGUUCGCCCGGGGCGUAACAGAAAGUUUUGUGGGGAACCCCUCCCCCACGCCCCAACCCCGCGGGGGGGAGUUAGUGGGUGUUAGGGGGGUAGGACGAAACACACGGGAAUGCGGCAGAUACCAGAUGUAGGGGUUAGGGGGGUAGGGGCUCCGCUCCCACUCCCACUCCCACUCCCACUCCCACUCCCACUCCCACUCCCACUCCCACUCCCACUCCCACUCCCACUCCCACUCCCACUCCCACUCCCACUCCCACUCCCACUCCCACUCCCACUCCCACUCCCACUCCCACUCCCACUCCCACUCCCACUCCCACUCCCACUCCCACGCCCACUCCCACGCCCACGCCCACGCCCACGCCCACGCCCACGCCCACGCCCACUCCCACGCCCACUCCCACGCCCACUCCCACGCCCACUCCCACGCCCACUCCCACGCCCACUCCCACGCCCACUCCCACGCCCACUCCCACGCCCACUCACACGCCCACUCACACGCCCACUCACACGCCCACUCACACGCCCACUCACACGCCCACUCACACGCCCACUCACACGCCCACUCACACGCCCACUCACACGCCCACUCACACGCACACGCACACGCACACGCACACGCACACGCACACGCACACGCACACGCACACUCCCAUUUCCUUGACGCAACAGGACUCCGUCGAGGACGUGUUAGAGGACCUCAUGCAGAGGUCAGUGCUGGAGGAGUUGGGCCUGCCACAGGAUGCCGUGCGCAACCUGGUGCUCCCGCCGCCACCGACGGCGCCGUCGACGCGCCCGCCGGCAUCCCCACCACGACCGUCCCUGCUGUCGCCGCUUCCGCUUCUAUCCGCCUGGCACGGUGCAGGACAACAGCAGCCCCAGCAGCAAUCGGACCCCGUGAGGACGUCUACAGGGCCGAUGCUGGUCCUGGGGACAGCGGCGGCGGCGGUGGGAGAUGGCGGAAACGGCGGCGGCGGCGCCGUGACGGCUAGCCCGGCAUGUCCGCAGGUCUUCCGACUUGUAGGCAAGGUCGUGCACGUCGAGACGAUAGGCAGCUGGCGCAACAAGGCGGCGUUGACUCCAGCGACGGCGCCGACGGCGCUGGCUGUGGAUGCGGUUCUGGAGACCGACGGCGGCAGCGGAGAGCUGACGGUAGCGGCGGCGGCGGCGGCACCCUCUGCCGGAGGCAGCAGCGGUGGUGGUUUCGGAGCCGCCCACAAGCGCCUAGACGUGGCCAUGGUGGGCAGCAUCGCCACCGCCGCCGCCUCCGCCGCGGCGUCGGCGGCGGUCGACCGACUACGUCACGUCAGCACCAGCGCUUUCCGUACGGUGGCGGCGGCGGAUAAGAGCGGCCGCAUGGUUGCUGCCGCUGCCGCGCCACUGGCGGCCAUGGCGGCUGCGGCGGAGGAUGAGGAAGAUUCCGAUGUGUACGGUGUCUAAGUAACCCCGGAAUUCUAGGUCCUGGAACCGCGGUUGGAUCCUCCUGGAUUUCACUCCGUAUUUGACGAUGCUUAACUUUAGAUGGGAAGGGCUGAAGAAGGAGAAUCAGCAACCGUGCUGUCGGUGUUGUGGUAAAAAUGAAUAAAACAAACCCUGCGGUCGUAGCUUCGCGCGCGCUUCAGUGAAACGGCCCGUUUGAUGCCAACCUGAAGAAGGGGAACUAUACGACGAUAACGAUGAUAAUGAUGAUGACGAUGAUUGCAACGAUAACGAUGAUAAAAUAUGAUAAUGAUGAUCAUCAUCAUGAUGAUGAUGAUGGUGAUGAUGAUCAUGAUGAUGAUGCCGACCAGCUGCCGUACGAGUCACCAGAGCAAUGACGCAACCGGAGGGGGAGGGGGGGAAAAUGGCUCGCGGCAAUUACGAGGAGGAAGGCGGUGUGGAGAGAUGAGGGUGUUGACGGUAAUUAAUAUGGACCAUGCCGAUAUGUGCCCUUGUAUGGGGUUCCCGGUGUUGAUGCUGCUGCUGAGGGUGCUGAUGAUGCUGAUGACGGUGAUGGUGGUUUAUUAAACUGUGAAUGUGUGUGCCGCUGUAUGUUGGGGAUUGUGGUAUGAGCUAACAAUUGCAAGGCGGAAAGCCGCCCAGGGCUCUCUUGGCCGCACGACAAGCCAUCCUGACAUGCCUGCAGGUGAACAAGGUAAAACUGUGUGGCAGGUGCAGUUCGUGAUGCCGCAGAGAGAAGUUCGGGUUUUUCAGGAACAGACAUGCAUGUCGUGAUAGGGUUAAGAGGCGGCAGGCACAUGUGUUCAGAAUCUGGGACGACAGUACCUAUCGAUGAGAGGCGCAAGGCGGAUAUUUUUGCACGUUCUUCUAUCAUAACUGUGAUAAGAUCGCGUUUCGGUGCUGUCGAGUUCGUACAAUAAAAAAAGGCGGCAAUUUAGUGCCAUGGACUUCGGCGAUGUGGGAGGCACGAUUCAGGGGUUGAUACGCGUCGGAGCGCGGCAACAUGAUGUACUGGUGAUUAUAACUUGUGAUUUUCUUUUGCGUGGGUAAAGUAUUCGCAUGCUUGCUGCAGCUUUCAUAGAGGGCUUCCCUUCUGAGCGGGCGAUUGGAGGGUAUAUAGCAGCUAACACGGCAACGAUGGCGUGAUAAAGGAUCCGCCAGAUACACGGUUGGGUUCCGGAGCCAGUGGACAUGUAAAUCAAGUUUGCAAUGGCAUAGCCAUAUCCCUUAUUUCCUGGGGCCGGUAUAUAAUGGCCCUGUAACGUUGCAGGUCGUUGCUUUUGUUGUCGCGUCUUCCAAACUGAUCUAGCUGUACACCCGCUCGUCGAUAAUCAAGUCAUGUCCCCCCGUACGAAGUCUUUUUGGUGUUUAGCUCUGUAACUUACAAACUGCCGUGAAUCGCCAGCUUGUUAUCUAUGCGCAGAUACGUUUCCAGUUUACGGUAUGAGUGAAGCGAACCAAUAAGCCAUGGCGACCCUAGCGGAGGCUGGUCCAAAUAGCACGCGACACAUGCGGGCUAAGCCGCCUCCUAUAGAUUUGAAUGUAAUUUCAUCGGGUGCUGGUUCCACACCAAACCGUAUUCAGUUCUGGACCGCUGCCCAGCAACGUGUUGCUCCCGAAUCAGCCCUCAGUGGCCCUGGUUCGCCAGCUACACUCCACGAAGGUGGCCUCAGCCCGGGGAUAAACUUAAGCCCCCUUGUUGGCGAGGCCCCAGUUGGGGGAGGAUGGGCUGGCCUACCUGCCCACAUUUUGGAGCUUAUCUUCGCCGAACUCCGUGAUAGCCAGGGUCGCUGGCCCUCAAGAAAGGUAUCUAAUCAUUAGUCGACAGUAGCGGGCCUGGACAAGCUUCCUGCAUAGGUGGCGCGGGCCGCGUCUGCGUCCUUUAGCUGCGUCAGCCGUUGCGGAGUCAACAAGCUUCGAAUGUACACAGCAAUCCGCCUGUUAGAAACCAAGCAACUUACCAUUGGAGGCAUUCUGGCAGCACGGUGUAGCGCGUGGUACACCUUGAAUUUCCUGUCGGUUUUAUGACGUGUUUCAGCUUUAAAAUGUUAUCAACAGUGGAGAUUAGCCUGAAAAUUCCCUGCAUUACACAGCUGUCAUGGUCCUGCAGGCAGCGUUUCUGCUGUUUGCAAAUGUCGAGAAACUCCAGAGGGUUUGGUGGGCCAUGGUGCGAAGCCCCCCAACGCAUGGACGCGCACAUCCCUUUCUCUACACAUAAGCAUUGUAGUGGAAACACUUACGCUCUACCCAACUGCGACCGUGCAGGUUUUAUUCAGCGUCUGCGGCGUCUGCAAGCUUUGGCGCCGUGUCGGUCACACGCUCUUCUUUUCAAAUGUCUGGCAGCACCACUCAGACGUGAUCGUGCACCCCUCCCAGCUCUUCACUCUGGUAAGCGACCCCGGCGGGCACUAAAUCUCUUAACCCCCCACCCGCAUACUUGCACACAGCGUUUUCCUCCGUUUUCCCCCUCACCUCCCCCUUUCCCCCCUUCCCACGCGUUUAUCCCAAGCGGUCUGAGCGAAAUCCCCGAGGGCCCCUGGCUCUCAACUCCUUUCAUCACGUAAAAAGAUGCCUGUGAUAGCGUUUCUGUGGUAGUGGCGCAACGCUCCCCUGUCUCCACACGAAACGAUUUUGCAUCCCACGAACAAUUAGGACGCCCGUAGCCGCAGCCGCAGCCGCAGCUGCGGAAAAAAGGUAGGGAAAGGGAUGAAUGUAUGUGAAGGCCUUCCCCGCCAUUUCCCCCCAUCUUCAUUUACAUACGCCUUCUUUAAAUUCUCGAAAUCUACCUCACUUCUUGUCGUUCCUUUCCGUGUUUCUGACCGCUUUCAGAGCCCGCACCCGCUGCGUCUGCACACGAGCGACCACCUGCUACGCUGCUUCGUGCACCGGACGCCGUGCCCAGCCUCCGGCCUGUCGCCGCGCUUUGGCCGCCUCUGGCGCUUCGCCGCGUACCUGGGCUCAGACUACCGCGGCCUGCGCUGCGAUCUGGGUCAGUCGCCGUCUGGACGGGGGCUAUCUGGUGGCGGCGGCGGCGGCGGCGGGGGACUUCCCGCUGGCGCCACCCCGCAGCUGUUGAUGCUGGCGCAGCAAACGGGCAGGUAGGCGAUCUGGGUCAACGGAGCCGCGGUCGGGGGGGGGGUUCAGGAGGGGGGGAGCAGGUUUGCUGGUCGGGCCCCCGGGGGGACCUGCGUGGCGGACCUGGAUUUUGGUGGGAGGUGCCAUCACGCUGGGCUGGGCCUGGGGUUUGUAUUGAUUGUUGGUGUUGGGGGGAUGUUGCAGGGCGUGUGGUGUGUAUUGCAGGCCAGGGGAAAUUGCAGGGCAAGGAAGGGUGGAUUUCGCAAACAGGAUUAACCGUGUAUAAAGGUUUUGUGUAUGCAUGCAUGUAUGUAUGUAUACAUGUGCAUGUGUUGUAACCCUCUAAAGAGGCCUUAAGUUUGUUACCUUAACUGUCGUACGUAAAUCUGUGCGGCCUUGGUAUGCGCACCGAGGGCGGCAGCACCAAUCUUCCAAUCUUCCCACCCGCACUACUAAGCCCGCGUCGCACUUCCCGCCCUUCCAUCCGCUCUCUACACUCUCAGGCGGUCGUACGAGCUGUUGCUAAGUCCCUCAACCCCAGGGCCUAGCCCCUGUCCUAGCCCUGGGAGCUGGGGGCCCCCGGCGGCAGCCGCCUUCACGUCGAUUGGCUGGCGAUCACCGCAACCAGAUGGCGGUGGUGGUGCUUGUGGAGGUGGAGGUGAUUUAGGAGAUCAUGGCUGGCGCCCCACGCAGCGAAGUGGUAGCAGUAGCUACGGUUUCGGCAAGGGGAGCAAUUGCGGCGGUGGCGGCGCGGGCGGUGGGGGUGGAGGCCGACGUGGCGGUUCUCGGGACAGCGGUGUUGUGGCGGUUCUUCGGAGCAACAUCCGCUGCAGCCACUACGAGCUCGUGCCGGAAGCGUGAGUCUGUCUGUCUGUCUGUCGGUGUGUGAAUGGAUGUGUGUGGGCGUGUGUCGGUGUGUGCGUUUUGUGCUGGUGCUGGUGUUGUUGUACUUUCCCUCGGUUGUACAUUCCCUCUGCGCGUUUGUUUGUGUGUGCAUGUGUGUGUGUGCAUGUGUGUGUGUUUUGUCAGCCCCCUUCACCCCCCUCCCCGUGGUGUCCUCCUCCACGUCAGCCGCCCCCGUCCGACGUUCCUUAGGGUCGAUUCCCUUCCAUUUGAUCUUUGUCAAGACCUUUCUCUCCCCUUGAUCCCACGCCCUCCCUCCACCCCACCCCCCUGCAACACCCCCUCAGGUCGUGCCCCUGGGCCCGGCGGCUGAUCGCCGUCGCGGGGUACAUUCCCGGGGGCCAGGGGGGUCCGCCGCCGCCGCUCAUCCGGCUGGAGUACCGGCUAAGAGUGCGAGGGAUCAUGUUGCCUCGGAGGUGUGUCGCCGGGUCAUGUGGGGCGUGGGGUCGCGUGUAGGUAUGUAGGUAUGUGUGUCAUACACGUAUGUGUAUUUGAAGGGAAAACAUCGUAUAAGACCGAUGUUUAUGAGUGCGUUUAUGGGGAAUACGAUUUGUAUGUGUUUGUAUGUUUGUAUCUAUGCGCAUAUGGUAUGUAUGUAUGUAUGUUUGUAUGUAUGCAUGUAUGUAUGUAUGUAUGUAUGCAUACAUAUGCAAAGCCAAAUGGAAAAAAGUAGUAUAACUGUGCCGACAUCUCUAGGAAAGUUGGAGCCCGCAAAUUGCCAUCGGGGCGGGAGUCCAAAACGGAUCGACAUGCAACUGCGUGCGAACUUAAGUUGCGUCCUCAGCGCGUUGGGAAUGAUGUCCCCAACGUUGCUGCGUGUGUCGAACAAAGUUGUAUUUAGGCUGCUACUGCCGAAGACGUGUCGUACAAGUAGGUAGUAGUAACCACGUAAUAGCAGAGGGGGGUUGCGUUUGGAGGUAAUGGGGAAUCCGAAUGUUAGGUGUCUCGUCACGGAUAAACAAAAGCUUUCUGUCUGGCGGCUGCGGGGUUUUGGAGCUAGGGGGUCGCAGGGGAUUCCCUAGGUUUUUGUACUGCAUGUGUAUGGCUCCCUGCUAGGAUGCCCCCCUAUAAACCAAAAUAUCUCAAUAUGCCCAAUUGCUUGCCUCAUCGUGGGGUUCGUUCCCCACAAAUCCACACCGCCAUCCUGCUUGCAGAAUGAAGGUGGAAGUUCCCGUGCCACACAGCCUCCAGCGAGUCGUCCACAAUCCAUUGUACGACACGCAUGAGCCCGUAGCGGACGGCGCUAGCUUGGCGGCUGCAGGCUGGCCAGCGCUUGGUGCUGCGGCCGCCGCCGCCGCCGUCAUGGCGCCGCCGCCGCCGGUCCCCCCGGGCGUUGCCGCCGCUGCUGGCGGCGGGAACGUCGCGGCAGCGCAGCCCCCCGCCGGAGGUCUCUUUGGCGGUGCUGGCUUGGUUGUCGAGGGUCAGGAGGGGCUUAUGGAUAACCUAGAGGACGUUUUGGAGGCCGCGGUGAGUACGGAGUACGAGAGUACAGACUGCCGUACAGCGGCACUAGAUGACCCGAUGGUGUACUGCGCGAGCGGGGUGCCUGGGGCCCCUGGCUCCUGCUGCAGCGUUUAGCAUUAAAUAUUACCACAUCCCGCAGCUCGUAAGCAUUUGCGGGGGGGGGAGUACCACAUGCAGGUUGUGAGAGUGCCUGGAAUGGUGGCAAAACUACUUAGGCGCCGCGCUGCGCGCUCACCUUCAAAUGCGUAUCAUGUAAAUAAAGCUUCCGUGCGUUUUCCACGCACGCAUAUGCAUACAGACCCUUAUAUAUAAGGGCACACAACGGUGCUGCGAUACCGGAACGCGCUGAUUGUCGACCUAAUGAUGAUGAUGAUGAUGAUGAUGAUAGUGGUGGUGGUGGUGGUGGUGGUGUGUUUUGGUUAGUUCACAUUUUACAUGGUUUUUACUUCGCAAUCUGAUGCAUAUGUGCCUGUGGUGCGGUUACGGGUUGUGCAGAUGCGCACGGAGCCGCUCCUCUUUGCCAACAUGGUGGAUGCCGCCGUGGUGCGCCCGGAGGCUGACGACGACGAGGCUGCGCCGGCGGAAGCCGGCGGUGGCGGUGGCGGUGGCGUCAGAGCGCCCAACCUUGCCGGCGCCGCCGCAGCAGGUGGCCGCGUGCUCCGUCGAGUUGGAUCCGCCGGGAGCGCCCUGCUGCGGGGUUUCCUGCUGAACCGGCUACAGGCUGGCGGCGGCGCAGCAGGAGCAGCAGCUGGCGGCGGCGGCGUCGAGGGACAGCCUGCCGGCGGCGGCGGCGGUACGGUACAAUGGUGGGGCCCUGGAUCGCCGGGAAGUCGUCGUGGCGGGGUCGAAGGCGCCGACACAGGCGCCGCCGGCGUUUGUGGCGACGACGGGGGUGUCGGCGGCUGGACGGUGCCGUCGCCGUCGGCAGCGCCUGCCCGUGUCGUGCAGCUUCAGAAUAAGGCCCCUCACUGGAACGACGCGCUGAUGUGCUGGUGUCUGAACUUCCGAGGGCGCGUCAAAAUGGCGUCAGUGAAGAACUUCCAGCUCGUGUGUUCAGCUGACAAGGCGGAGCGCUGCGUGAUGCAGUUUGGCAAGGUGGAGGAGGGCAUCUACAUCCUGGACUUCAACCCCUGCGUGCUGACCGCCGCGCAGGCGUUUGCCGCCGCGCUUUCGACCUUUGAAACCAAGUACCUGUUGUAGGGCUGCACUGCAGGCGGUUGGCUUUUUGGGAAUUCGUUUUGAGUCUUGGAUGGGAUCCUACUAGCUUUUGGACUUUGAAUUUCUUCAGAAGCUGUACGAAAAGCGCACCAUGGGGGCGGCAGCAGCAGCAGCAAAAGCAGAAACUUGGUGUGAAAAGCAGCGCGGCGGCAUGUACAGUAUAGAACUGGCGCGGUCUGUGUCAUGCAUGUGUGUCGCGCGUACAAGGGGGACGGUGGCGAGGCGGUGGAAGCGUGGUGCCGUCAGACGUUGCAGCCACACGUAUACACACCAGCAGCAGCAGAGGAAGAGCGUGUUUGUAUAUAUACGACGACGGUAUAUGAUCGCUGCCGUCCAUGCAGCUUUCAAAACAAGUGGCAGUGAGUGAUGAUGGUGGUGGUGGUGGAAAGUAGGGAGGAAGUGGCGGCGGAGUGGCUGGCGACGUAGCUUCUGGGGCCUCGAAAGGGUUGAGGAGAGGAGGAAGUUGUUUGGUUGGCGUCUAGGAGAUUUUCCUGUCGCGAUUUUCAGCACAGCUGCACGCAACCUUCCAAAGCGGGGUCGGGGAUUGGCACAUCCCCCCGAUGUGGAACUUUGGAGAGGAGAGAGGGUAGAGGGAAGGAGAUGGAGUGGUAGUGUGGUGGGAGUCCGGAGCGUCAGGACUCAGGAAGGUGUGUGUGUGUGUGUGUGUGUGUGUGUAGAUGCCUGGGUGCGUUAAGGGGGGGGAGGGGGGGGAAGCGGGGAGCAGGUCUGUUGCGAAAGCAGUGGGCGCUCGAGCCUGGAGCUGGUCACCGGGCGGCUGAGGUGCAUUUCCUUGGGUUGGGUUGGGUUGGGUUGGGACCGUUUUUUGGGGGUGGGAGGGUGGCCGGUCCAUGUGCCUGCUACUGCUACUGCUGCUACUGCUACUGCUACUGCUUGGUGUCCUCACCCGCAAGGGGGGCUCUGGAGAACUGAAGGCUGUGAUAUUUGUUGGCACACAGGGAACAGGGGCUCUGUGGGGUGAGGGAGGAGGGGAGAGGAAGGAGAGGAAGGGCAAUGGGGAAAACACCCUAAGCAGGAAAAGCAAAAAACAUGGGGGAGGUCAUGGCCGCAGUGCCGUCCUGUUUACCAAAACUGUGUCCCGUGCUUUCUGAGUGUGCAUGUGUAUGUAUGCGUUUUAUGUAUGUAUUCCAGCUUGGAACCGCGCGCGUCUCUGUUUGGAUUGUGUGGAUUGAUGUGCGCUUGGGGUAGGAAAACAACCGCGUGCGCGUUGUUUGUGUGGGAUGGAAUGCGGGAGGGAAGGAGAGGAGGGUUCGGAUGUCCGCUUUGAAGACGCUAGCAUCAUACCGACCGACAUACCAAGCGUCCAGAACCUGUGCAUGCGGCCGUCCGUUCAAGUUGCUAUCGCUGUUGCUGUUGUUGUUGUUGCCGUCGCUAUAAGUUGCACACUGGUACAACACUGAUUAGGUUAGGGUAGGAGAUUGUGCUGUCCGAUGCGCAGAACUUGAUCCGAUCGCGUUCCAGAGGCGCGCUCAAGUAUGUAUGUCUGUUUGCUGACGCUAGGAAAGGCCGCGGCAUAAGUGUUCGUACAUGCACCACCCAUCACACACACAUAUACACAUUUACGCACCAGGUCGGGAGGGGGGGAAAGGGGGGUGCAUCAGCUCAUGCAGGGAGUCGUACACACACCCUACGGGCGCUUCGCCCGGGUGUGACAAACCAGUCGAUGAUGCAUUGCGUUGUGUGCGUGGUGGUGUGCACAAGCAUGCAAACAGCACAACCACAAUACGAUGGUUAAUGCCUCUGAUUGCACUGACAUAUCAUUAAAAGUACGUUGAGCAGAAAGGCACGGUUGGUCACGCACGACGCACGCAGGGCGUAGACUGGUCGUGUGCGAAUGCAGCGCGCUGAAAAACGUAUGUUUAUCAGCGCCAAUUUGGUCUUGUUAGGGUUAAUCCGGGCUAAGGCAACGGGUUGGGUGGAUGGGCAAUGGCGAGGGUGGUUGUAAGCUGCUGCUGCUGCUGCUGCUGCAGCAGCUCUCGUUCUUUAACACCCCCUGGGGUCUUCCGGCCUACGUUCUUCGGUUCACCUAGGAGUGAGAACGGCGGCGAGUUGGGUGGGGCCGGGAAGGGCAGGAAGGGUGUUCAUGUGUGUUCGAUUCGUAGCCCCAUGGACCUCGUAUACAUACGCGUAUGGGGCCACCGUGCUGCGAGGGCGCUCUGCGUUGAGCUUGGGGCUUGGGGCUGGCUUCGUCACGGCUCCUUGAUUGACCCAGUCCCCCGCCAUAAUAAUAACUGUCGUUGAUUGGCAGCGUUUCGAAUGUGUUAUGACACCCCAAAGGUGUGUACCCGUUUAUGGUGUUAUUUUGGUUGGAUCUGUUGGCCGUUGGUAAUGUUGAAAAGGCUGCAUGCAUCACAUUUCGCCGUACGUAGGUUCGUUGCAUCCCCUACCCCAGCACGAACGCACGAAAAGGGGCGAUCGAGCUGUUGCUGCUGCUCUCUCUCAAUGCUCCUUCCUUCCUUCCUUCCUUUGCCAAGCCCUUCUGUGUGUGCCCUUGUGUGAGACCAUCCCACCAAGUGAAUUCCCACCACCACUGCCAUAUGGUGGCAAUGAUACUGCUGCGGUCACUGCGUUCUCACGGCUCCGGGCUGCAUCCGACCAGGAGCCCAUCAGGAGCGGUGUGGGGCGCGCUGCCAAGGUGCUGCUGCUGCUGUCAAGCGGUUGGCUGGGGGGAUGUUUUACAGGUUUGGGUCCGUUCGUGGAGUGCCCGCUUGCGGCUGGUGGGUUUAGCCUCCUGCUGGCUCCCCGCCGGUCAUGUCACGUUAGCCGUCACGUGUGUAUGGGGGGGAGAACCCAUGCGCGGCAGUUGCAAUCGUCAGCAGCUGAGGGUGGAGGGGGCCAUGCUCCUGGAGAUGCAGUGCUACGGCCAGCAGCGCAGCUGGGCAUGUUAUGGAGGGGCUCUCAGGGUUACGCCCCGACCUGGGGGUUGUUGUUGGCUGCGUGGAGCUCUAUGGGGUAUUGCGAUGGUAAGGGGACCCCACACACGGGGGUGCGGUUUGACGAAUGGAGCAAAGGGAAGGGUCGAGAUCCCUGAGGACUAAAUCGUCCUGAAAGCUGGUUUACUUGACGUACUAUUUACGGGGUUUGGGCCACGUAAAAGGCGCUGGGGGAACCGGGGAUUUGAAGCAGCUCUGAAGUGUGUAUGUGUGUGUACGUGUGUGUUGUGUGUGUAUGUGUGUGUGUGUGUCUCGCACAGACAGCAACGUCAGGGGGUUGUUCCAGUGCUAUGACCUUGUGGUGCAUUUUGGCAACCUUGGCUACCAUUUUGGCUACCAGGUUAACAAUCAUCCUGAUUGAGGGCAGUAAUGUCUGCCCACCGUUCUGUCCCUCCUCCCUGGUGGGCCGUGUGUGUUGCGGAGGAAAAUUAGGGGUCGGGUGGCGGGGGAAAGGGCAGGUAGUAAUUGGCGGUGGCAGAAGGGAAGCACUCACUAAAGUUGUCGGCUGACCAGCCAGGUUUUUGCUAGGGCCGGGUCUUUGUCAUGGGAUGGGAAUUGUGAUGAAUGGAAGGGAGUGUGUGUGCGGGAUGCAGAUGGAACACUGUUAUUGGUAGGGGGAGGGGAAGGCGGAUAGGGGUGCGUGCGGUGUUGUCACUUGUUGCCGUAUCGGGGCUCGUUCUGCAACUUGGGGAUUGCCGCGGCCGUAAGAAAGGGUUAGGGUGUAUGUUAUGGCAAGGCGUGGGGAGGAGGAGCAUUUCCUUUUUUGGCGUAAUGCCGAUCAAAGAACUAUGACGUCUCAGGUUGCUAUCGUAAAGUGCGGUGGGUCCAAAGUAAAUACGUGAGAAGUACAUGGACAGCAGUACCAGAUUUCCGUUGGCGCUUGACCAGAGAAAUGAUCAACUGAUACUGAUGGAGCCGUUGCCAAGGAAGUUUUGAUGAUACCUAACUGAUGGUGGGGCGCUGCGCAACGAAGUAAGCGUUGCAGAUAGCUGCGCUAGUCAUUAGUCAAGGUUUGCUACAAAUCAAUCACCGUCAGACAGUUUCGUGACUGAGAUUAGCGUGCGAUGUAGGCAGCUCAACGUUGCUAAUUUUUAUCACGAAACUUGACUCUGAUUCGUUAAGGCUAAUUACUAUAUAUGUUCAAACCUGAACAGCUGAAGGCAAAAACAUAAUCGAAGCCUUAUUGCGGUACCAAGUUAUGGUAGUAAGGAAUUAGCGUACCGCUAGUCAACAAUUAUUAUUUUAUUGUCGAAAACAACGCCGUGGAUUUACGUUAAUAUGCCAGACGAGGAAGUGGAGCAACAGCGUUCCGGUACAACUUCCGAUGUUCCGGUAAACAGAGCCAACCUUACACCAGUGGAUUCAUUCCAGAAAGCACUGUGACGAAGCCCUUUUGAUUUUGCUGGACUGAUGUGCGCUGGGAUGGAAGUAUCCACUCGCGAAACGUUACUGGACCUUCCGGGUCCGGUUCUGGAAACGGUUGCUUCGUUCCUCGGCCCAGCUGCGCGCAAAGUCUUUCGGCUAACCUGCAAGGUAUUCGUGUACAGUUGCCGAAUUCCCCAGGAGCUGCGCGCUAGCCUUCUUGCGCGAAAUCUGUGGUGCCAGCGUCAAUUGCACUGCAAAUUUGCACUUCACUUUCGGAAACCGGUAAUCACAAUAGACCUAAUUGCAGAUGGCCCCACCCUCGCCGCGCCGCCCGGUAUCGUACGUCCACUACUCCCGCUCCCGCCGUCUCUGUGUUGACCAUGUUGACUGGGUUGACUAAUUUGACCAGGAAGCAAAACAGCUGGUGGACCUUACCGUACAACAUUUGACCGUCGACUUCAGCAACGUCCGUGUACUGUGCGGCCCGUGGCGGCCUCUCCACACCACCUUCCAGCAGCUCACACACCUUACCGUGUCACUGAGCAGCGCCGGCUACGGGGCCUCCACCUGGGACGUACGACAGCAGGCCCAGGCGGCGGCAGCGGCCACUGCGGCCUCCACCACCGUCGGCUGCUGCAGCCGCCGCGCGCCCGAUGCCGGCGCCGCCGUCGCCGUUGCAAGCUACAGCUUGCGGAUACUGCGCGACUCGGUGCCGAAGUUGACGCACCUCAGGUCGAUUGAUCUGACGCGCUGCUAUCUGUAUCCCGAAGUAUGGAGCGCGCUGUGCUGCAGCGCCAGCGCCAGCGACGGCGACGGCGGCGGCAACGGCGGCGGCGGCGGGUUGCCAGCGGGCUUGCUGCUGCGGCUGCAUCCCGCCGCCGCACUGCUGUUCCCCGGGCGUACCUGGGCGGAACGUCUGGCCGUCAUGUUGGGCCAAUUAGCAGCGGCCCAGCCUGCCGUACGCGUCCAAGUGGUCUGCUGCAGUGGCUGUACCGGCGACGGUGGGCAUCAUCUCCACCACCAACGGAGGGGAGCUUGGGGCGGCGACGCGGCGGCGUGCUGGUGUGACGUGGACGGGGAGGCUGGUCUUCGCAGGGUGUGUGUGUGGGGGGGGGGGGAAAGGGGGUGAAUGGGGGUGAGGAGGGGCCGCGGCGGACGACCAAAGCAAGCAGACGGAGCCGUCCAAAAUAAGUGGGGAGAUUGCUGCUGAGGGGGGGUUGUUGCUGCUGAGGGGGGGGGUUGUUGCGGAUGAAGGGGUUAAUGGCCUCUUCGAUGGCCUUCAGUACGUCCUUUCAAUUGCGUUUGCAGCAGCAGCAGCAGCAAACUCGUUGUUUUGCGGUUCACUGAUGCGUGCGACUGCCACACCUCAACCAACACACCGCCAACACAACCACCUCAACCAACACAACCAAAACUACCACGCCGCGGCCUGUGACUUUAUUUGCCAUGCACCCGCGCGUGCACUGACGGGGAAUUCAUCCUAACAACAGAUAUACGUAUAUGUCCCUAACACACCCCACCUCUCUCCUAGUGGCCCAGUUCCCCCGCCUUAAACCCCAGCUACCCCUCUCCCCCCUCGGGGGGCCCCCCCGGUGCCCCCAUGCCCCGCCCGCUGCAAACCUACACAUGCCCAGCUGGCCGAGCUGUCGUACAUGUACGAGCUGCCGGUGUGCGUGUGGUCACGGGUACCCUGCCAGGCAGCCUGGUUGGCCCCGUUGUCACGCCUCACCCUCUUGCGGCGCCUGCACAUUAGUUGCCACAGCAGUGCCGACCCAGCGGGGGCCCAUGCGUGGCUGGGGGGUCUGUCAGCCAUAACCGCCCUGCGGGAGCUCAGCCUUGGCCGUACAGAAUCCCCGUUGUCACUUGCCGACCUCGCUUACUUGUCGGCCUGUACGGCGCUGACGGCGCUGUCCGUCGGCGCGCUGUCGGCGGACUNNNNNNNNNNNNNNNNNNNNNNNNNNNNNNNNNNNNNNNNNNNNNNNNNNNNNNNNNNNNNNNNNNNNNNNNNNNNNNNNNNNNNNNNNNNNNNNNNNNNNNNNNNNNNNNNNNNNNNNNNNNNNNNNNNNNNNNNNNNNNNNNNNNNNNNNNNNNNNNNNNNNNNNNNNNNNNNNNNNNNNNNNNNNNNNNNNNNNNNNNNNNNNNNNNNNNNNNNNNNNNNNNNNNNNNNNNNNNNNNNNNNNNNNNNNNNNNNNNNNNNNNNNNNNNNNNNNNNNNNNNNNNNNNNNNNNNNNNNNNNNNNNNCAGGCGGCCAACCACAGGUUGCCGAGCCGCCGCCGCCGCCGCCGCCGCUGCCACAGCUGCGCUACGGGCUACGUUCCCUGGAGCUCGUCCAGCAGGAGCCGGCGGCAAUCUUGCUGGGCCCAGCCGUACAGUCCACGGGCCGGUCCCCGCUACCUGACACGGCAUUGCUGGGAGAGUUGGUCGCUCUGGAGCACCUGCAGUUCACCGCUUGGCGACUUCCUGGCAACCAGGUAAAUGGCACCGUACGGUACGACAGUGUACGAAGGGCGCCGUAUCACUAAAUGAUCCCUGUAGCUGCCUAAACCCCUAAAGUCAGAAUUUCAACUUCCAGAUUUACCUCACCAUACAUAAGCCCUCAAAUCAUCCCGUACAGCCCGGUAAAUUCAUAAAAUUAUCCUUUUCCUAAAUAAAACAUUUGUGCUAUUAAUAAUUUAAUUAUAUUAAUUAAUAAUAUGUAUUUUAUUACAUAUUUUAAUUUAUUCCAUUUCAAUUGAAUUUUUUAUAAUUAUUUCAUAUUUAAAAUAUUUUAUUUAUUAAUAAAUAAUCCAUAAUCUUCCCUCCCGACGUAACGUUCCCCGCCCCAUACGGAUUCCUGCUCCGCAUAUCGCCUCUAUCGGGCCCCCCGCGGUGCCGUAGCUCCCCGCGCUGCUGGCCGCCGCCCAACCGCUCACCCGCCUGAGGCGACUGACCUUCCGUGACUGCGACACGCAGCUCUUCGGCUGGGGCUGGGGCGCCAGGGGGUGGGGUUGGGGCCCCGGGGGGUGGAGAUACACGCUGGCGACAAGACAACACACCGCCUCGAGCUGCCUCGGCGGGCUGGGCCAGGGCCUCCUGCCGCGUGGGGUGCAUCUUCGGAGCUUGGAGUGUUUGGAGGUGUGUGUGUGUGUGUGUAUGUGUAUGAGGUGGGAGGGGGGUGGGGUGUUGGGCUAAAUAAUGGGAAACGGGAAAUAAUAAAGUGCGGUGGAGAAAGAGCUAUGCGUGCGAGAGGUCAAGGGGUACCAUUGACCGGAGCGCGAGAAAGUGAUGACAGCGUUGGGGGAAUGUGUGUAUGUAUGUAUGUAUGUAUGUAUGUAUGUAUGUAUGUAUGUAUGUAUGUAUGUUGUGCAAAGAAGGGGGAGACGUAAGUACGUGGGCGUUGGGGGUUGGUUAUGUUGUACGGUAUAGGGAGGCGGCCUGACAACAAGGGUCGCGGCGGUGGGGGUGGGGGGCAGGGUGGGGGCCCCACGGGCCCUGUGUUUGGGCCGUACUGUCAUUUAUUUCCGAAAACGGAAACCCGAGACCGCCCCCUCCCCCGGGGGGUGGGUGGGGCAGAACAGGUUUUAGCAGCUUAGCAUGUGUGUGUCUGCAAAGUUUUUGGGGCGCCACGACUCCCUGGAUGAGCUUGUGUGUAUAUUAGGAUUACAACGCCCCCAUUGCCGCAUUGCCCCAUCGCCAGCGCUUCAGUUUAGCUUGUUAAAUCAAUCUAACAAUCGCCUGCGUUCUUCUCGUCCUGACGGACGAAUGCUCCGUCCGUAAAGAACCGACAGGAAAUGUUUUUCAUAUUGUGGUUGUAAAAAAAACUGCGGGCUUUACCGGUCCUUCCGUACCUGUACGGCACCCAUCCUCUACGCAGGUGCUGGGCAGCCCUAGCCUUUGCCUUCUGGAGCAGUUGACGCAGUUUUGCCGUACACCUCAGUUGCGGCGGUUGGGGCUGUACGGCGUAGAGCGUUGGGAUGAGCGUAUCUUUCAGCGGAUUCUGGGAACUACGACGCGUGCCGCCACGUCCGCCGCCGCCGCUUCCGCUUCCGCCGCUGUAGCGAGAUGCGGCAGUGGUGAUGGUGGCGGUGGUGUUAUGUCCCGAUUGCUCAUCGCGCUUCGUGCAACCUCGGCGGCGGCAGCGGCAGCGGCGGCGGCGGCGGCGGCAGUGCCUGGCGGAUGUAUGCGGGAUCCGGAACACGGCGGCGACCGUACGACCAGCCAGGUGGCCCGGUCACCGCGGUGCUCGCCCACAGCCGUGCCUGAAGUGGUGGUGGCGGUGGCGGCGGCGGCGGCACCUGUGACGGCGGCGGAGGUGAAGGCCGUAUCAUCCCCCACGAUGAUGACAAGGACCGGGAGAGCACGAGAAUUCGAUAAACCCAGUAGAUGCCUCCCCCUCCCCCUCGCCCUCGCCCUCGCCCUCGCCCUCGUCUUCGGACGGCAACUGCGGGCAGCACCCUCUGAGCACCGGUCCCAGAACUGCCCGGAACUGGCGAGUGGCUGCGGCGGCGAUAGUACGAAUAGCAAUAAUAGCAGCAGCAGCAGCAGCGGCGGCCGCCGCCGCUGGCCGCGCCUGUCGUACAUUGCAGUACACGAUUGCCCGGGAACGAGCUUGGAGGCCCUCCGGCACCAGAUCCAGCUUGUUGGUUUGGGAUCUUUUGUGGAGUUGGACUGGCUGGCGGUAUCAGCCGGCGGCGGUCUUGUUGGUGAUGGUGGUGGUGGUGAGGAUGAGGAUGAUGAAGAGAGGAGGAGGAGAGGGAGGGGCUGAUUCCGACGGACGCAGUCAGUGAGAAAUGUGCCUCUCUCUAUUAUAUGUAUUUAGUCUAUCAUCACGGAUUGCGCCACCUGUGAUCGCGCAGGCAGCCCGGAGAAGUUCUGGGCCCGGAAAGGGAUUUGGGGGGGGCACCCUUGGGGCGAAUUGCGGGACGUGUGCGUGCGUGCGUGCGUGUGUGUGGUGGUGGUGGGGGGGGAAAGGAAGGUGAGGUGAGGUGAUCCUGAAAUGGGUUUGCUGGAUGUGAAAAAGUUAUCGUAUGUACAGCAGGGGUGCAGCGAAAUUCUCAAAAUCAUGGAAGGUUGAGGCUUCAAGUCAGAAAGUAAAAUAUACGAAUGACAGCCUCUGACGAUGUGAGAGCAGGGGGGAGGGAAGGAAGGAUGGAUGGAUGAAACAAAACACAUUCAUCCAUUACUUCGUGUGCACAUGCAUUUGCCUUCAUGUGCUGCACAGUAGUUGAUGAAUAAAUGCCAUGAUGAGGGGCUAUGUGCGUUCCCUUCCAAGAAUCAGGGUUGAGGAGAGCUGUCUUUCUGUGUGUCUUUCUGUCAGACUGACUUUAUUCCCCACGUAUUCUCUUUCCCCCCACUCCCUUCCAAACCCUACCUUUCGCGAUCGCAAUCUGCGCACAUGUCGGGCACCACGCUGUUGUCCGCUGCAACAAGACGGUACGACAGCUAUACGGCAGAACACAUUCGCGCGUUCGUACAUUGGCGAGAGGUUCCUCUCAGCAAUAAACGCCGCAUGGCGCAAUCCACUUUAUUAUUAUUAUCCGUUAGUUGUUUGGCUAAAACCGGUGAUUGGUUGGUGUUUCGUUGGUUCGUUUAGACAGCCCGUACGUCUUUAUGUUGUUGGUUUCCUCUAAAACCGAAUCUUCUCAAUCGCUUUCUUCCUUACCUCUACCUCUGAUGAUGGUCCGUACGGCAACGGUACCACGCAGUACUACAUAUUCAUAGCCGAUUUGGCCGAGGGUGACUCAAGCCGAGGUCAUGUCAUUUUGAAAAGGUUGCGCUACCCAUUGUAACGUAAUUGGAUUAGAGAUUUAGUUUGUAAGAUGCCGAAUGCCCUCUGCAGCAGCACAGCGGCAAGCAUGUGUGCGAAUGCAAUCCUGCCAGAGUGCAAUGCGCUGCCAACAGCACACUCCCAUUACAGGCUGCCUAACCCCAUGGACAUGUACGGCAUGUAGUACAUGAUUUGUCGCCGUACACAGAUGCCUGGAAGUCAUGGCGCCGAACCAUUUGGCCCAACGCCCCUUUCCCCGGUGUAGUUCCACAGCAGGUAUGUGACACAGUGACAGGCAGGGCCGAUGUACGGAAAGGGGCUCCUGACAGCAGCUUCAUCGCAGCUUCAGACCUCGACAGUGCGUAAUUUGUAGGUUGCAGUACGACUCCAGGAAGGUGCAUCUCGACAAUACUUAGGGGCUUAGGGGCUCCAACCAAACCAAUGCAACAGAGUUGAACUUACGUUGGGAUUGAAGGCGAUUAUUGGACACCCAUCCAUCCACCUGCUAGAGUGGUACAAGUAUGUACGCAAGGGAAAUACUGUCUGCGAUACGAUGAUGCCAUACGUAGCAUCGGAUGCCCAUGAGGCGGAAUGGUGCUGAUGAGGGAAUUCAGAUGUGGUUAAAUGCAGAUCCUAAGAAGAGGGCAUUCGAAGUCCCUUCCCGAUGCGGCUAGAAGUGUGCGGCAUCGAACCUGGCGCAUUGAGGCGCCGCGGGGUCGGGCGAUGUCACGCAAGAGCCAACGAAGGAACAAAGGGCAUUUACCUUAGGGACAAAGCCCAGGCACCCCGGGACACGCACGCGGGAAAUUGUCUGGAAAAGCUUUCGUAGCGACGGGUGGUGCGGUGACGACGGGGCACCUGGCGCCAAGGCUUCCCCGGCCUGCUGUCAUGGUACGAACCCAAGUAUCUUUUAUGUUUUAGAGGUAUCUUCUAUGUUUAAUUUGGGAUUGAUUGACGACCCAACAACCUCUGUUAACUGGAACGCCAUCACCAUUUCGGUAACUGCUUCAUGCGGGGCUGGAAUACGGGCUGAUAUGGAAAGGUCCCGGACCCUUAGGGACCCGUUAAACGUUAACCCUAAGGGUCCGGAACCUUUCCAUAUCAGUAUGGUAUUCCCGGGAUGCCGUAUGGUAUUCCCGGGAUGCCGUAUGGUAUUCCCGGGAUGCCGUAUGGUAUUCCCGGGAUGCCGUAUGGUAUUACCGGGAUGCCGUAUGGUAUUACCGGGAUGCCGUAUGGUAUUACCGGGAUGCCGUAUGGUAUUACCGGGAUGCCGUAUGGUAUUACCGGGAUGCCGUAUGGUAUUGCCGUAUGGUAUUACCGGGAUGCCGUAUGGUAUUCCCGGGAUGUCGUAUGGUAUUGCCGUAUGGUAUUACCGGGAUGCCGUAUGGUAUUGCCGUAUGGUAUUACCGGGAUGCCGUAUGGUAUUACCGGGAUGCCGUAUGGUAUUCCCGCCGUAUGGUAUUACCGGGAUGCCGUAUGGUAUUACCGGGAUGUCGUAUGGUAUUGCCGUAUGGUAUUACCGGGAUGUCGUAUGGUAUUGCCGUAUGGUAUUACCGGGAUGCCGUAUGGUAUUACCGGGAUGCCGUAUGGUAUGGGAUGCCGUAUGGUAUUACCGGGAUGCCGUAUGGUAUUCCCGGGAUGCCGUAUGGUAUUGUGCCGUAUGGUAUUACCGGGAUGCCGUAUGGUAUUACCGGGAUGCCGUAUGGUAUUACCGGGAUGCCGUAUGGUAUUACCGGGAUGCCGUAUGGUAUUGCCGUAUGGUAUUACCGGGAUGCCGUAUGGUAUUACCGGGAUGUCGUAUGGUAUUGCCGUAUGGUAUUACCGGGAUGUCGUAUGGUAUUGCCGUAUGGUAUUACCGGGAUGCCGUAUGGUAUUACCGGGAUGCCGUAUGGUAUUGCCGUAUGGUAUUACCGGGAUGCCGUAUGGUAUUACCGGGAUGCCGUAUGGUAUUACCGGGAUGCCGUAUGGUAUUGCCGUACGGUAUUACCGGGAUGCCGUAUGGUAUUGCCGUACGGUAUUACCGGGAUGCCGUAUGGUAUUACCGGGAUGCCGUAUGGUAUUGCCGUAUGGUAUUAACAUACGGCAUCCCGGGACCCAUACAUUUCAUUGCAGGUUAUAACGAUGCAAAUGUUGCAAAUAUAUACUUUUAAAUUCGUUUACUCUAAACUGGUAAGCAGCGACCGGAGGUAAGCAGAGACACACAGCAGCUUGGCAGCGGUGUCAACAGCAUCAACGGCUAUGGUGCCGCCAUCCCUUCCACCAUCAAUCUUGAUGGUGGUCACGGGGCCAGCAGGCUGCAGUUCAGCAGGGGCGGGGGGGUGCAGCCAGCACAGCAGCUUGGCAGCAGCGGUAGGCCUGCGGCCACCAUCCUUGCAAUGCCACACUCAAUGCAGCUCAGAUGGCCCACAGGCUUCCGUUUAGUGUGGGUGGCAGGGUGCGGAGCAGUCCUCCAAGGAAUGGUGGGUUGGCUGGUGGCACCACUGUGCCUUUUGCGCCUGGCCCUGGAGCCCACAGGCUUCCAAUUGGUGGCGGGGUGCAGUCCAUCUUGGAUGACCUUAAACCAAACCGUGCCACACUCAUGCAAGUGACGACUGCAGCGGUCCGUACCACGAUCGAGCAUGAACUAUGGCAGCACAAUGAGCAGAUGUAGCAACAGGAACAGCAGCAGGGGUCAUACUUUGAUUGGCAACUUCAGCUGUUGCGGGUAGAACAUCUGCACACUGGGCUGCGAGUUGCAGAUACACUAGGCAUGCUAGCCCGUGGUGUGGCUGAAGCAGCAGCGAUAGGAUGUGGCACACAACAAACCCUUCCUGAUGGCGCUGGUGGAUGUGAGCUCGACACAGCAGGGCUCAGUGUGGAUAGGACUCGAGUAGGUUCUUCGUGGAGUGGUCUGAAAGGGCAAUGCACCGUGAAUGUAGGUCCAUACUGCUGUCUGCUGUGAUGGCGCCUGGUGGUACCCAGUCAGGUGCUCCCCUCCAUAGCUCAACGGUUGCUGGGUUGGACAGUGGUGGGCAGGGGCAACAUCUUGCAGCCGCAGCCGGCACUGGUGGCACAGCUACCGUCGGGCUCAACGAGGGCAGUGGUACACAAGGGAUGGCCUCAGGCGUGGGGCACAUAGUACAGGUUGCAAUGGGCAGCAGCACCACAGCCAGCACUGGUGGCGGCAGCCUUGGCACAGCUACCGUUGGGCUCAAUGAGGAAGCUGGUGCGCAAGGUAUAACCUCAGGCGUGGGGCAAGUAGUACAGGUGGUGAUGGGCAGUGGCGCCACAGCCAGCACUGGUGGCGGCAGCCUUGGCUUCCGUCCCUUCCACCAUCAAUCUUGACGGUGGUCACGGGGCCAGCGAGCUGCAAUUCAGCAGGGGCGGGGGGGUGCAGCCAGCACAGCAGCUUGGCAGCGGCGUCAACAGCGUCAACGGCUAUGGCGCCGCCGUCCCUUCCACCAUCAAAUCUUGACGGUGGUCACGGGGCCAGCGAGCUGCAGUUCAGCAGGGGCGGGGGGGCGCAGCCAGCACAGCAGCUUGGCAGCGGCGUGAUAAUGGCAGCUUGGCAGCGGCGUGAUAAUGGUUCAUGACAUCGCCAGUUAUAGCCUGUGCACAAACAGACGCGUACGCCUCAGAGCCUGUCUGAAUGGUAUUUGUAUCCAUAUCAUCAUAUGUCUGGUGGGAAGCACUUUCGGGCAAGCCACUAGGAAUGUAGGAGCAUGAUCGGCAAUUUUGGAGCUCAAUUUUUAAACAUAAGAUUACCUUUCGUGGCACAAACAUAUCUCCCUGUGUCUCAGAAUGUGGUGAGACUUUAAAGGCGGCAAUUCAGCAGUAAACUUUCGAAAUCUGCAGCUGUCCUAUGUCAUAACGUCCUGCCUGGAUUAGUGCAUUGGGACGGUCCCGCGGCAACUACAACUCUUAUGUCUCACAUCGUUACCUCACAUCGUUAGCGCGCCUGCCAGAAAGCCAGUCUGGCUAAGCCAGUUGCCAUAUAUGGUGCCGUUAACGGUUGAAAAACCAGCGAUACAACGGUAUCCCUUUCAUAGAAGGCCGCAAACCACAGCAAUGCGCUUUAGAAAUUUUUUUCAUGUCGACUUCUGUGGCUGCAUGCAACGUAGGUAUUAUGGCUUAGACGGUUACAGGUGCAAUACGUUGCCUUGUCGUGAUUUCACAUUAAUUUUGCGUACUUGAUUGCUGUAUUUCUCUGCAUUACUGGGUUUGAUGCUCAGGGGAGGCAUAGAUGCUUCUGCAUUGGCAAGUGGGCCUUAUUCACAAAUCUUGCUAUUGAUCACCUAAGUUGUUGGCUUUUCACCUUACAAGUGCUUUACUUUAUUGAACUCUGUUGUGCAGAUCCGUCGAUUAUCCUUUGAUCUACAACUUGGGCCACUGCGGGCUUUUGUAGGGUGUGCCUGCGUUCGAGCCUGGCUAGUUGGUAAUUAAAUUGUUCAACAUAAUCUCUUACCGCGCUGUAGGGAGCUCUUCGGUGUAAGAAUGCAGCGCUCGGCACUUCAGGCAGGGCGUACGCAUCAUCACCAGCUCUGGGCAGGCUCCUCGCGAAGGCCGCAGCCCUUUACAUCUGCUCGGCCUCGAUCUGUCACCGUUUGCAACGCGGCAGCUUCACUGAACGGUAACGGCAACGGCGUACACAGCAAUGGCAAAGGGCCCACGGCCAAGUGCCCAUCGCCGGCCCAAACCAUCCGAACUCUGGUUGAUAUUGCCAACGAGGGCACGCUCUGCACUAUUGGAUCUAGCGGACAUCCGGUCGGCAUCCCGGUGACCUUCAACACCGACAAGCAGGGGGCUGUGCAGGUUCACCUAGAUCGCGCCGCAAUUGAGAUGGCCAACCUCAGCGGCAGCACCGCCUGCAGCCUCAUGGUGCAGCCCAUCACCCAUCCGGCACGUGCCGUCGCGGCCGUGACACUUAUGGGAAAACUGGAGGUGCCGGCAGAACCCUCCGCGGCCGCACCCCUGCACGUGGAAAGCUGCCUCUACUUUGGGGGCCUUGACCAGGUGCCUCAACGUGCAUGCGCGCGUGGCUCUCAACCCUAAGUCCUGUGUUUUGUACCCUGUACGGUUCCGGUGCGCGAUGCUUCGGUAGGUAGGUAGGCGUCCCCCUCAUGCACCUCUUUCUCCCCCAUCUGCCAUCCAUCCAUUUCCCCCAGGACUGUCUUCCCUUUCCGCCCCCUGCCUUCCCGUGCUUGUCUGUCCGACGACUGCGGCACAUGUGCAUGUGCGCUCCCCUCCCCCUACCCUUGCCGGACAUUUUCGCACGUAACGCUCCCCCCAUCUCUCCGUUCCUCCGGUUCGCUCCCCCCCUUUCCCUCCCGGGCUUUCUCCCCCCCUCCCGCUCCCGCGGCGCCACAGGCCCACCGGGGCCAGGAGGUUAGCGGCGAGGAGUACGCGGCGGCGGAGCCGGACGUGUUGCGCAAGGCCGCCCCUGAGCUGGUCAACAACUGGAACGGGUGAGGGCCCUGAGAGGUUAGGCCCGGGGUUAGGCCCGGGCCCGGGGACAGGGUGUCGAGUGAUAGGUGGUAUAUCAGCGGUGAGACAGAAACCCUCAUGCCAUGAUGUGGUCAGCUUUAAUUUUACUUAGCUUUAAUUUUACUUAGCUUUAAUUUUACUUAGCUUUAAUUUUACUUAGCUUUAAUUUUACUUAGCUUUAAUUUUACUUAGCUUUAAUUUUUGUGUGUGCGGGCGUGUGGGCGUGUGGACGUGUUUGGGGGGAGGUGGGGUGUGUGUGGGGUGUGUGUGUGUGUAUGGUCCACCGCCGCGGCGCGGUGGAUGUCUUAUCGACGAGGGUGUGCCGGGGUGGAUGGAAGGGGUCACUGGCAGCGGGAUGUGCCCACACACACACACACACACUGGAGGGUGUGAUGCCCACAUCGCGGAGGACGUGCGAAUGCCCGUUGAUCAUUUGUGUCGUGAGUGCAACGCUGUAAAUUACGGAUAUGAUGGGCAGGCCCCGGGUGGGGGGCCCAUCUCAUGGGAACGUGAAUGGCUUUCAGUGAGAAAAAGGGGAGGAAUCAUAGGUCCCAGGGAUUAGGAAGUAAAUUAAUCGAAUGUUCGUUUGUAUGUAUCGCCCGGUCCUGCUGUUGCUACUGUUGCCGGGAUUUGUAUGUGCAUAGGGUUAGUUAAUCGCCGAAAAAUAUUUAGAAUUGUUCAAUGGGUUUCGGAGCCACGUGGGAAAGAUGUAUGGCUAUGGAAGAUGCAGCAGCCCACGGGCCCGCCCACGUCUUUCGGGUCUUGUAUGUUGUUGCCGGCGCUAUCAACAACAGAGUGCUGCACACUCCCGCCUUGCGGUUUCGGAAAUGCAGGGAGUGUGCGGAGGACAUCUACAGGAUCGUCAGCGACUACCUGGGGGUACCGCUUACGGAGGUGGGUGGGGGGGGGUUGCGGGGGGCGGGGUGUGUGUGUGUGGUGUGUGGGGGGGGGGAGGGGGGGGGUGCGGGGUGGAGGGUUAGUGGCAUGUUUCCCUUUCACCUCCCACGGCCCCCUCCACCUCGCCAUCCGCCUGGCAUCGUGGGGGGGACGUGUGGCGGCAAGUGGUGGCGGCGAUGCAGGAGGGCAGGCGGACAGCAUGUGCUUCGGGGAGGGGUAGCAGUUCUUCAAUAAUGGUGUUGUUGGUGUAUGGGGGUGGUAUGGGGGAGAUUUCAAGGAGCCGAGAUUGCCGCAUUGCCCCCUUGUCUGGCGCUCCUCUCCAAUCGCCUUUUUGCCACGAUUUCUGCCACAGCUGGACCUCUACCUGGCGCCUACCUGCCUGGAAGCCGUAAUCCGCUGGCUCACAUCCAGCGCAGAUUCCCUUCACGUCACGUCACGCCCUCCCAGCUCUGUCCCACCAGCUGGCAUCCUCAUGAUGACAUGCCGCGUACCGCCCACCUACCUCCCCACCCACCUACCGCCAACCUACCUCCCACCUACCUCCCCACCCACCUACCGCCAACCUAAUUGCGCAGAAAAGUGUUUACCACGUGUUUAACAACCUAUACGGUGACGUGCUAUGGCAUUAUCGAGCCCUUGACCGUCCAACCCUAGGACAGGCCCUCUCAGCUAUCCCACCUUAAUUUCCCCCGCUUCCCCCGCUUUCACUCGCCCACGACGCUGGGGGUUCCCCACUGGACUUUGACUGACUGGAUCCAGAUGUCGUACGCGGAGCUGCUCUGGGUGGACUAUCUGGGCAUGUACAUCCGCACGGAGGUCAACGGGCGAGGGGAGGCCGAGGUGGUCCGGGUGCCCUUCUACCGGCCCGUGCUGGACGAGAGGGAUGCGCGCUCUGUCAUCACCAUGGCGGCGCAGAUCGCUUGGGAGCGGGAGCGCGCCUACACUCCGCCGCUUCCAUCCAUCUUUGCGGAUGCAGCCUCUAACAACUAAUAACGGAUGAGCAGUAGCAAAAUUGGGCGAGCAGUAGCACUCUAGACUUGCCGUCACACAUUACAUAUAUAUGUAUACCUGCUGGCGCACAAACCAGUGUGUGACACGGGUGGUGGUGUUGGUGGCGACAAUACGAUACGAUGAGAUGGUGAAGAUGGCCAAUUAUGGUGAUUAUGGCCGGAUGAGAGCCAUCGUUUGCGUCGUGAAUUUUCGGGUCAUGACGGCGCUGUAGGGCCAGGCAGGGUCUCUGUCGCGUAUCUGCCUUGCUCAAGAAUUUGAGGUGUUGUUUUUUUCGAGUUGGGGUGUAAAAGGUAGGAGAGGGAGGGUGGAGGAAAAAAGCCAGUAGGUUGAGGUGGUCAGCUGAGUUUCUCAGUUUCUCAGUGUAACCCAAGAGAUGGAGAGGUCAGCCGGGCGGAGAUGAUGGUGGAAGAGGCGUCUGUGCCGCUGGGUUUUUUGGACCUACCUUUUUGGAGUUCCUUUUAACCCCUUUGAGCUCAGGUUGAGAAGGGGGUCACGAAGGUUGUCAAGGAGCCGGUGGCUCUUGUGUGUUGUGGGGGAGGAGACAGCCUUCUUAAGGGGACAUCUGGACUCAUCCAACUGGCUGGCUGGUAGGUAGAUAGUAGUUGCUGGUGCGUGUGGGUGUGGGUGUGGGUGGGUUGUUAAGGGGAGAGAGAGAGGAGAGGGCCGCUUCUGUGUGAGAAGGCAAUCAUCAUUGCUUGCGUGGCGCUAGGCAGUCAUCACGGGAGGGAGCCCCUCAUGUUGAGGAGGAGCACAGGCGGACGGGCUUCGAGGGUGAGGUCCCCCGAUUCCACCACAUUUGGUCGCAGCCACCAGCUAGGGUGAGGGAAUACCUGAGACAGGAGGGAGGCAAUGCGCAAUACGGUGCGAUGGCGAUGAAAGGGUCGACGGAGGAGCGACGUCAUCCCAGGAGUACUUUCGCUGCUUCGCAGGUCCUCCUCCGGUGCAGUGGUGCUCCACGCCAGGGGUAGAGACCUCACACCUUGGCUCCCCUUUCUUUGUAGUAGGGGGGCUACUUGUUUUUUAUUUUAAUGAUGACAACCCUUGAGGCCGUAUUGAUGGGUCAUUAGGUCGGAGGGGUAUGGUUGCGAUGGCUAGCUAAGGGGUUCCUGGUAUAGCUCGGCAUCGCAUUUCACAUCGCCUUACCACUACGGACAAACAUGCUGUUCUGCAGUGGAGUGUGUUCAGUGUGAGGGGGCUGUAAAGCGGAGGGGGCUUGAAGUGAAGUGAGUUUUUGAGACGUGGUGGUCAGGGUGGAGAGGAGGAGCAGGGAUGGCCGGCGAGGUUUUUCGGACACGGCACUUCGACAGCCUUUGUAGCCAACGGUGCACCCACGUAUCGCCUGUAUGUCCAGCGGCGGUGUACGGUGCACGGGGUGUGCCGGAUAUGGGGUACAGCGUACACAGUACCAGGCGAUCUUCCGCUUGCUCGCGGCGUCUUUCGUCUAGUGCGAUUUAAAUCUUACUGUCUAUUUAUACGACUGUACAUGAGCGGACAGGGCCUCGAGCUGACCGCCGCUGAUCCGGUAUACACUUCCUGUUGUGGUGCAUGUCGUGCAACGGCGUUGUUAACGUGUGGCAUAUGUGGUGAUGCGUUUGUCCAUGCAGUACUUCAUGACUUUUUUAAGAUGUCGUAAAUGGCGUUACAAUCGAGGGGAAUCGAUUAGUGCUGUUCGCAAAAGCCAAACACGCAAUGAGCCGCAGCAAGCGGCGCGAAGAUGUACGAAGGCGAGCCUUGUACCAGGGCCUGGACAGCCCCAAACCACCAGAGUCACCCCUCCCCCUUGUUUCCAGAACCUCGGACAGGUCGGUUGACGAUACCUGACUUUCACCCUUUAAGCUUUCUUUUCGUGAAAAUGUCCUUUCAGUCACAGCCCGUGGGUCUCCUAGGGGCUCGCAUGGGCGCGCUCGUUUAAGGAGUAGCGCAACUCUGGGAGGUGUAAAACACAUACCUGUACACACACAUACAUACACAACACAUACAUACACAUACACACACAUACAUACACAACACAUACACCGCAACAUCACUAAUGAAGGCGUCUGUUGCUGCAGUAGCUAGUGUGACGUCUGAAGUCAAGGAAGUGUGGCGGUCUUGGGGCUGUGCCUCGCGGCUACCGGGGAGCUGUCCGCACACAGGCGAAACGUCAUCCGUUGCUUUCGUUUUCUAAGUUCUAGUGGCGCCUGGCACGCAGCAGGGAGGGCAAGCACCCGUCACCCCACUACCGCCCCCCGUCCCCACUGGUCGCUUCCCGCCCCACCACUGUGUAUGCUGCACCAUGUACAUAUCCCUCCCCUUCCUUGAGCAUGGCGUGGAAGGUUUUAUCGCAGCCCGCCAGCAGCAGCGAAGUACGUUACGUUUGGAGCAGCUGCUGGUGGUUGCCGCAAGUUACAAGUUCCCACGCAAAUGCGAGUGUGUCCGUAAAAGCCGGGGGGCCCAUGGACGUUGUAUUAGUAUUGAUGCGGGUACGCUGGAGGCCAUCAUCGUCCUCCCUCGUUCACUUCCCUGCCUUUCCUAUGCAUAGGGCACAACGUCAAAGAGGCGUCCCUGGUGUUUGGUGUCCCUGUGGUGUGCGCAUGGUUUGUGGCGAUCGUCGGCAUCAUUUCUGGGACUGUACUGUCGCGUUGGCUCUUCGUGAGGCUCUGCAGAACGAACUAGAGUUUCCAGACCUGUUUAACCGGGCUAACUUGUGGUUGCGCAUUCCGCCGACCUCGGUUUGAUCGUGUGUCUGGGAGGUUGUUUGCCUCGCGGCCAUCAGCUCACUCAAUCUCGGUCGCCGUUUGUUGUUUAGGGAAGGUCUUAAUGCCAACAUGCCUAUAUCAACGUCAUCGCUUAACCGCAUUACUUACGAUGUUAUCUCUGACUUUUGGGCCCGUUUAACUGCUUUUGCGGCACGGGAUUACUUACCAAAACGUUGGGAACAAGUACCUCACAACCACCCUUUUAUAAAUGUCAACAACGCAGACAUGGUUGUUUGCCGUUUACCAAUGUACAAUGACGAAGUCUGAGGGCUCACGUCGGAGCCUCAUUUUUUCUGUAUAAGCGUACUAACUGAGGCCUUGUGUCCAGUGAAGUUAGUACGGCCUGGCUAAGUUCUUUUUGAAUAAGGCCCACAGUGUUGUGCGGGAGGCGCUCCUAGGGGCGCUGCACUCAACCCGUUCGGGGUCCACUGUAACAAUCGCAUCUAAGUGGAGUUGUACGCAUGGCGCUCGCCGCGCUACAAUGGCGUGUGGUUCUGGUGUAUGCCGUUACACCGCAUCAUACGCGUCGUAGGAAGUAAACAGUAAAAUGAAGCAUGUGGGCAUGACGUGGUUCGGGAUGCCGCUUUUGUCCAUCCGGAAUUGCGAUAGAGACCCACGGGUCGCCUGCCCCGGCAUUAGUCCAGCUGGAAGUUCCCAAAUUGCAGAAGCAACGACCAACGACACAAUAAAGGAAUUUUAGGCCCCAUCCUGUUGGCGAUCGCUCGUUUACUUCGCUUAUCUCUGAGUCGCUUGGAGUUAGGGUUAAGGAAACCCCGACUGCUGAGAGCGUGUUCGAAAUGUGCGCUAUGAUUAGCGGAUCGCAACAUUAUCCUUUCAUGGCCGGCAGAAUAUUUGGUUGGCAGGCCGGCCGCUGCCUCCUGGGAAAGGUCUUCGCGGUUGCCAACGCAGGAGGCGUCGGAGUUAGAAUAGGAUUAGGGCCGACUCAAAAUAUUUUCGAUCUCUAUAGGAGCAUUACUACGGAAGGCACUACUGGUGACGCGGGCAGCAAAGGCGCGCCGGCGGAAGGGUCCAAGGCACCCUCAUCUCCUCCGCCUCCAAGUAAGAUGCAACCGAUUAAUUCUGCACAGCAAACGACAAUUACGUUACGCCUUUAUUCCGGUGACGGAAGCCAAUAGGAGGGUAAACGUUGGCACCCAGGCAAGGGACAGUUCUCAGUCUUCCCUUCUUUUUCCCGGAAGAAUGCUAACAGGACUAGCAAAUAACAAAGAGCGAACCCAGCUCUCCUUCAAGUGAUCACUUCAAAUUCAUUCGCAGAUGGUUUCUCAUACGUUCCGAGCCAUGCAACGUAAUUCUUUGCCUUGUCCUGGAAGCCCGGACUCCUGCUUUGCGAGCGCUGGUGGCUGCGUAUCGCACAGUGCGAAAUGGUACAUAUAUCCAUCAACUGCUCCAUCACAGUCUCCCUGAGCUGGAAACAAAAUGCACCAGCACAACGCCACUUAGCGCCAAACAACCCGUCUACGGGGCCCCACAGCCGAACAGGCCCCAGGCUACUUCAGUGACCAGCGUCCGCGUCCUGUUACGCACCGGUAUAGAUGUUUGCUGGUUAGCAACGGUAAAUUUUAUCCCUUUAGCCGAGGUCUCUCCUGCGUUGGUCGCAGAUUCAUCGCACUCACGCAGCUUUCCCUCCCUGGACGCCCCUUCCCUCCCUCCCCCAAUAACCUGGUGGCUACCCCUCGGGGAACGCCGCCGCCGCCACCGCAGCCGCCGCGGCGGCGGCCAGGAGCUCUCCUGCUGCUUCAUUGGAUUCGCACCAGGCUCCGGACUACAGCCGCGUGAUGCGACUGGCACAACAAGUACGUGGCGUAAGGGGUCCGUACAUGCUGUACAUGCGAGCCGUACUGGCCGCCGUCCGUGGGUCACGAUCAAAAUAUCGUUGUUAAAUGCUCGGGGGGAUAAACGCCGGGGGCCGCACGUGCGUGAUUCGAUAGCCGCAGUGACGGUGCGGUAGCGGCGCACGAGGUCCAUCUGUCUACUAGUCUAUCUAUCUAGUCUACAUAUCUAUGUAAUUUUAUCUAUCUGUCUAAUCUACCUAUCUAUCUGUGUGUGUUACAUGGUUGGGGGUGCGUGACCCCAUACCUGUAAAACUACCCAUACGAGCCGAAGGCCCAAGGGUAAUACCUAAACGCCUAAAAGCCACGGAGAACAGGAAACACCGCACUAUCAGCCCAGACUAUCUAAUCUAUCAGAAUCUUACCUAUCUAGCUGCACGGGGUCAAAGCAAGCGGAGCCUGCCAAUCCGCUUUUUCGUCCGUAUGUAUAACCGUCAUGUUCGUAUGUAUAACCGUCAAGUUCGUGUAUAUAUCCGUCACAAGGAAGGGCACACAGUUGAUCUCAACGCCGUCGAGCGCAUCCGAGCUCCUGUCGCCAGAGUACCACCACAGCCUUUACCCACCCAUCCACCCCAAUCUUCACACCAUUCGGGUCCUCAAGGCCAAUUACGUCUUCUCGGUUUAUCAUUUCCUCCUCCUAACUGACAUCAUGCAUAUGAUGUGUGGGACAGGGGGGUAUAUCUUCACCCGUGGCUGCUACCUUGCGAAACACUGCCUUCCCCGGUAUUUCGGGGCACCCUCAUCCAGUCACCCUAGUCAACUUCUCAGUGGAUCGCUCACGUUCCGCACCCACCACCAUCAUCCAACGGAAUCUGCCGGGUCGACAGCGGCCCAACUCCAUUCCUGGUCGGCUCGCAGGUUAACUUUAUCCCUCGUCACCACCGUCCAUCAACUAGGGGCGCAAUACCUUGCAUCAUCGGAAUGAUUUUUGACCCUGACAGAUCUCAAUCCCGGGAUCUCCGGGGGGCAAUGGUCGCGCAUCAUCAGUUGUGCCAGAAUAUGAAAAUGACACGACCCAGGUUCGAACUGGGGACCUCCUGUGUGUGAGACAGAUGUGAUAACCAACUACACCAUCGUGUCGGAAAUACACAUGCAAUCUGAAAGCAUAUACAUAAUUUGAAUAUAGAAAUACAUACAUACAUAUGAAAGCUGUCGCGCCGUGACGGCCGCCUUCGCCGUGCAGUUUACAUCCGACAGUGCAUCGCCCAUGCCACACGGCGCCGCGGGGGUGGUUAGCGGCGUGCGCGAUGUGGCGCUGUCGCCGCGCAGGGUCCUCGUCUUCAGCAGCGCCCGCAGUCCCGAACAACAGGGCCGUCAGAGGACAGCUUUCAACAGGCAGGAGGAGCUUUCAGGCAGUGGUUGUGUGGCUAGGUGGCUGUGUGCCUGCACGGGGAAUGUGUACGUAUGGCCGCAUUGUGUUCCUCUAGCCCUUCGCCGUUUUGUGCCCCCGUAUGUAUGUAUGUUAUUAUACUUUCUGCGAGGACGAACAACCGAUGCAUGCAACUGUCCGCGACGUGUGCCACUCUGAUGUUGUUGUGUAUAGGCGUUGAAGUCUACGUCUUAUCGUUGCGUUGCGUUGCAUGGCCCACGAUGAGGUGCCUGCCUGCUUGCCUGCUCGGCGCUGUCGGUCAGCCUUGGUAGCUCGUUUUUAUGCAAAGCGAGUGUUACUUGCCUUCACCUUCUUGGAAAUAAACACUGCUUACCAUCGUCAUGGUGGUCAUCAUCAUCAUCAUCAUCCCCAUCAUCCCCAUCAUCGUCUUCACCAUCCCACCAAAUCAGGAAUUCUCCGCAUUGGGGGCUGGAAUUCCUAGAUGUUACGGACAAGUGGGAGAACCGGCUCAUCGGCUGGACAUCCUCUCCAGACACCAAGCACCAGGUAAAUAUGUACGACUGUCGUACAUGUACGACGACAUACGUGCGGACCGUACGGAAGAGAGCGUGAUGUGAUGCUAUAUGCUGCUUUUUGUGUGUGGCUUGCGUACGUAUGCUGCUUCGACUGGUUCACACGCACUGUACAGGCCAUUUGUUAUCACAAGUACCGCAUCACGUCACGCACGUAUGCACUUCGUUUUUUACUUCCUUUGCCUGGUCAUCAUCCAUCCAUCCAUCCAGGCUGCUGUGGCGCUGCAGUUUUACACUGCGGAGGAAGCCAUCGCCUUCUGCAACCGCCAGGGCUGGCAGUACGAGGUGGGCGAGUGAGCGUACGAAUGAAAAUGCUUUAACUUCAACUAUGCGGCGCUACCGACACCAAAACGCGGCGCUAGGGUCGGUACGGAAUACGUUCAAUCAUGCACGUAUGUGUACGAACGUAUGGCCGCCCUGGCGGCGUGGGAGGUUAGAAUGAGGGUGCAUAUUUUUUCCUAAAUCCCACGCGCCAGCAGAAGGCAUCGUGGAUGGCGGCGAGGGCUCAUAUACGUAUGUCUGUAUGCAUGCAUGUGCGUGUGCGUGUGCGUGUGCGCGCAGGUGGAGCAGCCACAUGAGCCGCGGGAGGGCCGAGGGCGGCGCUGGGCGACCUACGGCGACAAUUUCAGCGUCAAGCGGGACGGCCUGCCAGAUCUGUCACACCUGCCGUCCAACCGGCCGCUGUGAUCUGCGGCCAUCCGGCCAUCUACCUAACUACCUGAAGUAGAGGGCAGUGGCGGCUGCGGCGGCGGCGGCAGCAACAACGUAGAGAGGCGCAAGGCGAGGACGCGUACGGCAAGGGACCCGGCGGCGGCGACAGCAACAGAUGGUGAAGUGCACACGGCUCUCUGUGUACGUGUGGAUACAGAUGCGGACGCGCGAUGAGGCGGCUGUCCGCGGCGGCGGCGGCCUUUCUGUUGCGAGCGCUGCGACGACGAUAAGAGGGCGCCGCGGCGGCGGCGGUGGCGGCGGCAGGGACGGCUGAUGAAUCGGCGGGUGAGGGGACGCACGACUACCUGGUAUCGGAUGAGAGGUUAGGGCGGCGGAUCAGUCUAUUGGGCACUCACUGGAGGGGGAGUAAUAAUGCCGAAGUUGGUUCCACUGAUGUUUGUCUAUCCAGUGCUUGAUCGUGUGUGACAACGCGCCGGUGUGUGUGUGUGUGUGUAUGUCUGUAUGGAUGAAGUACAGCCGCGCGAGUAAUGUUUAGAGAGGCCGCAGUUACAGUAUCUGCACGCCGACGGACGCCCUCGCGCCCUGCUGUCAGCGUAUCCCACUACUUUGUAGCUACCUACCUCCCUACCUAGGUACGUAGGUUCAGCUUGCUUCAUGUGGGUGCUCGGAUGGACGCAAGUAAAGUAAGCAAGUCGAAGCUAGAAGUACCAGGAAGUGGAUACUGCUGAAGUUAGAGCUGAGGAUUGUGAAAAUGGUGUCAGCCUAGCCCAGAUGAUUGGCUUUUCGCUGUACCGGCGUACCGCCAAUAGCGGCUCCGUGUGUGCACCGUACAGCUGUAGCUACAAACGAGUUGUUAUACAGCACCCUCAGACUGCUGCUGACGGUCAACGCGGUGCGAUUCGCGCCCGGCGCGGAGGCUUGGAGGUGGUACUGAUGUGAGUAACGAACCGAGGGAGCUGUUUCAUCGCGUGAAGCUGCGUUGCCGCUAUAGUAGCAGCUACCUACCUACCUACCUACCUACCUACGUACUCAUUGCCCCAUGCGUUUACUCGGUUUAUAGUUAGUUGCGGUUCCGUUGGUCGUCCGCCGUCGCUACAUAGCGACCCGACCGAUCAAUCGCUAGCAACUAGCAAACGCAGCCCAUGCAUAGCGGUGUCUGUGUCUGGAGAUUUCGUCGUGCGAUGCUGUCUACAAAUGUAUAAAUGAUCAAUCAUGUCAAAUAAAUACCUGAGUAGGGCCAGAAUUGUACACACGGGGUAUAUGGCCGUACGUGUACAUACGUACGCAUACACGCCCAUAUGCCCAUCCACGCACGCAAUAACGCCAGUAAUAAAUAGUAACCAUGCAUUUGCAAAUCCACGAAUAAGAAAAACGAUUGGAAAGCAAUCCGCAGUCCACGUGCAUGCAAGAGAAGGCACCUGCCAGCCUGUUCAGAAAAAUGCUCAGCACUCUCAGAUGAUGAGCGUUGUGAUCCGCAUCAUGCAUUAUGGUGUCCACAGCUCCAAAACAUAUCUCCAUAUGCUUUUGCUUAAUCGACCUUAAACUUUCAUCAUUUGUUGAAUUUUCACGAACGGAAAAAUAAUAUAGUGCGAUCAUUCUCUAGCUGGUGUGGUCGACUUAGGCGGGUCUGGCCGGUUGAGGCCGAGGGACUCCCAACCGGAACCAGGAUGGCCGCGGCGGAGGGCGUGGCGGCCGCGGGGGCCGUGGUGGCGGCCGCGGGGGGCGGCGGGGCUGUGGUGAGGGGGGGGGCUUUGGGGAGGGGGACGGCGGAGGUAGGGCAAGCUGCGGCGACGGCGGAGGCCGCGGCUGCGGGGGUGGUGAUGGCGGUGGCGAUAUCCUUCCUAGCGGUGGGGGUGGCGGCGGCGAUAGACGCAUCCCAGCCGGCGGCGGGCUGCGCCGCGGUCCGGGUGGUGGUGGCCGUGGCGGUGGCCGCGGUGGCGGCGGCCGUGGCGGCUUCAUUGCCGGAGGCGGCGUUGGGGGGGGCCGCGGNNNNNNNNNNNNNNNNNNNNNNNNNNNNNNNNNNNNNNNNNNNNNNNNNNGCGGCGACGGUGGCGGCCUUGGCGGUGGCAUUGGACUUGGCGACGGCGGUGGAGGGGGGACUGGCGGCGGUGACGGAGACGGCAACACGCCAUUGCAAUCUGGGUCGGCAUAAUCCUGCGCAACAUGCAUACGUACAUAGGCACACCAGCACACGUAGGCACACCAGCACACGUAGGCACACCAGCACACCAGCACACGUGUACCUGCAUGGUUAUCCCUCUGCUACGACGACGUCUUGGAAUUCUCUUGUCGCCAAGCUCAUUCAAGUACUACAGAUGAAGUAUUAUUGAUGGAGAGGAAAACGGUUAAAAGGCGGAGGACUGGAUCCGUUAUCCGGCUGGAUUCGUAUGUAUGCAUGUAUGUGUUCCCCGCGGCCGUCACCACGCACCGGGCGAUGCAUACACACACACACGCACACACACGUACACACGCACACACACACACACACACACACACACACACACACACGUACACACGCACACACACACACACACACGCACACACACGUACACACGCACACACACACGCGCGCGCGCGCACACACACAGACACACACGCACACGUGCACAUACACACGCGCACACACAAGCGCACACACACACACGCACACACACGCACACGAUGACUUGAGAGUAUCUAACCUGGUGAUCCGAUAGGUACGGAAGAUUGAUUAACCUGAGCUGCGAUUGAUACGUCACGUGUUUGAUCCUCAAUGCCGCCUUAGGCUAUCUAAAUCCGUAUGGUGCGCCGGAUGCGAAGACACAUCCGUUGUCGGUCGGCAUGAGUGGUGGCAUCUUGCAUGGCUGCAUGACACCAAGCGUGCGCGUGUAUAUGUAUGUCUGGGCAACUAACUGUUCAACGACCAUUCAAUCUGGUUUAACAUACAGCCAAACAUACAACAAACCGAACUAACUAACACCCACCGUUAGCCCAUCGCAGUCGUUAUCCAGGCCGUCACCGCACGAAUUGCCACCCUGUGCCUCCUGGGGCCCCCCAGAGCGGCAGAUGCUGACAACUGCACUUAGGCCUGGGGAGAUGGAGAGAACUUUGAAGACUAGGCCAGAAAAUGAGUCAUCCCGAAACUCCUGGUUGGGCUUGUUUAGCGCAGAACGUAGAAGAGUCUUCUGGGCGGAGCCAGCGUACUGCGGGCGAACGAACGAAUAUACGACGGCAGACGUACAUGCCUGUGACAACUCGAAAUACAUGUGCGUGCCGGCGUUCAGUUUUUUUGUGGAAAGAUCAAUCCGCUGUUGCUGCUGCCGCUGCUGCUGCUUCGUGCUCUGAAUCACAUGCGCAUAGGUGGAUACUUCAAAAAUGCAUGUUGCACGUGUAACGAGAGAUUUAUUUCAGCAGAGAUAUACGUUUAUUAGAUCGGUGGCGAGAUGGGUGGGCCCAGCAGCUACGUACGAACGCUAGGUACACGCGUACGCCCCGCCGUACUAACCCCAUGCUCUCUUUGGUGGAGUCUUCCGUUGUGGUGUGAUAUGUUGUGGUAUGUUGUGCCCUAUUUGUGUCUAUCUGCUGGGGCCUGUGUGCGUCUGAUUUUGCCUUGUGUGGAUACACCAGCUGGUUUGGGGGCGGACGUCCCCGGCAAAUGCCCAAGGUACCAACCCUUUUACUCCUUAGCCGCAUUCUCAUUCCUUUACUAAUAUCUCGUUUUGAAUAGGAAAACAACGUACAUACGGCGGCAUCACACGUAAGCAAGUAAUAAUAAAGCAAGCGCGCGCACCUGUGUCCCAUUGAAUGAGUGAAUUAAAACCUGGUUGUUUUUAUCGUUGUCAAACAAUUCGAAAGGCUCUUCUUUUGAGCGAAACGAGACGAGAAGGGCAUGUGCGGGGUAAGCAUCAGGGCUCCACCAGACGGUGUAGGGGGGCGGAUCCCACAUCCAGCUUGCGUAGAUACGAACAUACGAUUGAGGGGCCUUGUUUUGCACGGGGAGCGUGAACGUGAUUCUUCUGCCCACUUGCAGCGUGGUGCCGUUGAGGUCGCCUCCCGGGAGGGGCAAAGCCCAGCUCAGGCGCCAUAGCUGCGCGGCGUUCGGGCAGGUGUCCCCACUGCAUACAGAGAUAUGCAUGUACGGAUCAUCGGACAUGUGCAAACAUACAUACAUACAAUGCAGCGCCAUCCCCGGAUGGAGGGGCUGCGGAGUGGCUGCGUAGAGUGUUGGCAGUCUGAGUCGGGGUCGGGAGCACACAAGACUAACCGACUUGUGCUGUGUGCUCCCGACCCUUGCGCUGUGUUUCGGCUUCGGCCCCCGGCUCUCGCGGCCCACAGUGUAAUCUAAGUCAUACAUACAUACAUACGCAGGGUCCCCCCGUUUGAGUACUUUUCAAAUUAGACCAAGUGCUGUGGAAGGGCGCGGACUUGUGCGGUGUUAUCCCCCCGACGGCUGCUAUCUCCCCUGGACUAGCCCAGGGAGGGAGAGGCGGAGGAGGGUAGUAGUCUCAGGAGGCUGUUUGGCGUCUUGUGGUGUGAGCUCUUUGCGCUCUUUUUUGCGUGAGGAUUUUUGAGCUUGGUGACCUCCCCAGCCCGGGAUGACUCGUCGGGCUCCCGGUCGCCCAGGUCCUGGUUGUGAGCUCUCUGAGAUGCUCGGUUCGUUCGGACUGCAGGAAGAGCCCCCCAGUUGCGACUUCGUUUAUGUUAGGAGACCAGCGGGCAUAGAUCCCGUCUAGAUCCCGUCUAGUCCCGUCUAGCGCCAAACGAGCGCUGUUGCGUGCCGGCCGUCGCUUCCCGUGCGGCCUGACCCGGGGGCGGAGUGCAUGAGACUAACCAGCCGUAUGCACCCGCCCCCCGCGCUGUGUUUCGGCCCUGGGCCCCCGGCUUUUCAGCCCACAGUGUAAUCAACGUCAUACAUACAUGCAUUUACAUGCAUUUACCACCCUGUAACGACAUACAUACAUACAUACAUACAUACAUAUAUAUAUACAUAUAUAUAUAUAUAUAUACAUAUAGGGGCUAUCUCCCCUGGACUAGCCCAGGGAGGGAGAGGCGGAGGAGGGUAGUAGUCUCAGGAGGCUGUUUGGCGUCUUGUGGUGUGAGCUCUUUGCGCUCUUUUUUUGCAUGAGGAUUUUUGAGCUUGGUGACCUCCCCAGCCCGGGAUGACUCGUCGGGCUCCCGGUCGCCCAGGUCCUGGUUGCGAGCUCUCUGAGAUGCUCGGUUCGUUCGGUCGGCAGGAAGAGCCCCCCAGUUGCGACUUCGUUUAUGUUAGGAGACCAACGGGCAUAGAUCCCGUCUAGUUGGAGCGCCAAACAAGCGCUGUUGCGUGCCGGCCGUCGCUUCCCGUGCGGCCUGACCCGGGGGCGGAGUGCAUGAGACUAACCAGCCGUAUGCACCCGCCCCCCGCGCUGUGUUUCGGCCCUGGGCCCCCAGCUUUUCAGCCCACAGUGUAAUCAACGUCAUACAUACAUACAUACAUACAUACAUACAUACAUACAUACAUACAUACAUACAUACAUACAUACAUACAUACAUACAUACAUACAUACAUACAUACAUACAUACAUACAUACAUACAUACAUACAUACAUACAUACAUACAUACAUACAUACAUACAUACGGAGACUGACGGAGGACUUAUCUGGGUGUCUUGCCUACCUCCGUUAGAAGCAGCAGUCGCAGUAGAUGGUCGUCACUUUCAUACGAGUUCAGGAUUGCAUUCAGGAACGGCUGCAGAAGAGCAUGUGUGCACGUGUGCACGUGACGCAUGCAUGGCGCGCUCCGUCAUCGGAUACGUUUUUUUCACCAUCUGUAGGACGGCGCCGGUCUUUUUUCUUUAUAUCGACGAUACAUAAUCCCCUACUGGCGACCCUACUUGGUCAGUCGGUUGCGUGUCUAAAGCACCCGGGGGGGGGCCGGGGAAACCACGCGCCACACAUUACACUCCCGGGCUGCUGUAUGAUACAUGUUCGCUCCAGACGAUGAGCAAAGACGCCCUAGAGCUGGAGCCCAGCAGAGGACGUAGCUACGUGUAUAUGUGAUGGACGAACGUCCGCUUUGCAGUUCCCCGGCACCCGUACUGUAUAUACUGUAUGUACUUUGCUUUAUUUCAUUUCCCGUCACUCACAUUCCCAUCACGCAAGAGUAGUCGGCGUACUCCCAGGGGUCACCCAAACGGCCCGCGUGGUGGAGCCCGAAAUUAUGCAACAUUUCGUGAAGAAAGACCCGGGGGCUCGCGGCGGCGUUGAUCCAGGUGUAGCAACGAUCUCCGCUACAGCCCACUUGGGCCAAGCCUGCGUACAUAAAAACAUACAUACAUUUACACAUAUGUGUGUGAACAAUGCGUGAGUGCAUACAUGUGAAGGCACGCGUACUAGUACAAUACGAUAAUACGGGAAUAAUGAAAUGCGGUGAGUGGUUUGUUUUAUUUUGUUUUCAAAGAUAUGGUGACGUAGACGCCGCGACCCAAGUCGAUAGGGGAAGUUCACUGCAGCAGCUGCCUUGUGCUCGCUGGACAGACGAUCCUUUCGGCGGUAGUGAUACAUUACUUGUGGAGAUCGCUUGGCUGCUGCCUAUCUGGGAUACUAUCCAAAAUUGGCUGGACACGCAAGGAUUACGUCACUAUAUAUGUGCCUGAAUGCAUAGCAUCAGCAGCAGGCGGCGGCAACUGCUGCCCCGCAGCUGGUGUCCGGGGCUAGGGUGCCAGUAGCAAUAGCAGUACAAGUCUGAUAGAUGGUGGAGCUUUGGACAACAUAAGUAAUUUCAGAAUGUAUCUAUCUGGGCCGACUGUCUUACUACAUACAUGUAUAUAUUAUAUAAAAUCUGACGAUAUGGAAAUGUCGGACCUUUACCGUGGAAGCAAUAUCGUAUGUAAGUGCUAUGGUAUAAAAUCUGACGAUAUGGAAAUGUCGGACCUUUACCGUGGAAGCAAUAUCGUAUGUAAGUGCUAUGGUAUAAAAUCUGACGAUAUGGAAAUGUCGGACCUUUACCGUGGAAGCAAUAUCGUAUGUAAGUGCUAAGGGAACCCACUACUGAUGAUGCAUAAUAGCAGAUAUAACGCACGAAUGAUGAGGGUUGUAUCACACACUGCAGACAAAUCCAAUACAUCGGAUGUGCGCAUGUAAGCCCGCAUACAAGUGCAAGCAGCUCAGGUCCCGAACGAGAUAAGCGUUUAGCAGCUCCAGCUUGUGCGCCUGCGGCGGCCCGUCCGACAGCAGCCCCCCACUCUUUGCCCCCGCCACCAACGUACCACCCCAUCUGCAUGUCGUGUGCGCAUAAUCCGGGAGCACGGCGAUUCGUUGCUUGACAUAGCUAAUGCUAGCUCCAUACGUGUUCCUCACAAUGCUGUCCGCCAUGCUCAUCAUCCCGUAUAGCUCCUGCGCGUUAGAGAGAGAGAGAGCAACCCCGGGAGGCCAUCCAUCCAGACAAUACUUUUUUUUAUUGUGAACGACUGUGUGGAAAAGGAACGCAUGCGCGUGUUUGCACAGCCGCGUGCCGGCCUGCUGCAGGAGUUGUAAACAGAUAGACUAGCUGCAAGCAAGGCAGGAACCUAGCCUGCCUACCUACCUACCCACCUACCUUACCUACCUACCUAUUUACCUACGUUACAUAUCUGGACAUGCAGCAGCAGCAGCAGCAGCAGAGGCUGCAUGCUGCACAAACACGAACUCACCGGGUCCUCGCAUGAUGUAUUGAAGUUGAACGCAUUCUUGCCCGACCCACCCGUGCACGGUAACUGCAUCAUCGGUGUUCACCGCCGCGGGUACCGGGCAGGGCAAGGCACAAGGCAAGGCACAAGGCAAGGCAAAACACAUUGGUUGAAAAAGGCUGCAGGUACAUGCGCGUGCGUAUGUGUGUGUGUGUGUGGACACACAGCCAUGCACAUAUGCAGCGGUGGCGCAUUUGCGUGAUGUUGUUGCGGCAGCAGCUGGUUAUACCCAGCCGUACAUGUACUACAUAUAAACGUAUGACGCAGCAUAGCUCACAUCAACCGCGAAGAUACGUUGGGAGCUGUUCGUCAUGCGCGCGGCGCCCUGAGAGCAGUAGCUGAUGUAGUUCUGCAUCGUCAUGGCGUCUGUCGUGGUGCUCGGCUCGUUCAGCCACAUUUUCCGGAAGGACUCGACGGUGUGAUAGUUCCGGUAUCCGCAGUAGCUUAUCAAAAAGAUAACGCUGGAGAUUGUGACGUUCGCGCGGCCUGGAAUGGCCUCCUUCCCCGCAUCCUUGUCCGCGAAUCCAAAGCUUUCGACCACCUUCGCAGGGACGGCUGUGGAUUGCGUUCGGCGGCGGCGGGCGGACUGUUGCUGGCUGGCAUCCGUCGCCGCUUCCUCCUCCUCCUCCGCGGCAUCAUAGUCGUGCUCGUACUCCUGGCGGAUGGCGAGGCGGACACGCUGGCCUGCGUACUUCAGCGCCUCCGCUUCAGCUAACAACACACCCGUGACGUUGAAACCAUCCUGACCAAUGUUUUGUCUCAGGUAACUGAUUGUGGAGUCAUCCUCCAUUACAAACACAUCAAGCUCGCCUGCAUACCAUGACAUGCAUAUACAUACAUGCAUAUACAUACAUGCAUAUACAUACAUACAUACAUACAUACAUACAUACAUACAUACAUACAUACAUACAUACAUACAUACAUACAUACAUACAUACAUACAUACAUACAUAAAUGGGCAGAGUUCAAAGCAUACACAUGUGCGCGUAUACGGUACACUACCUUGGCACGCAUGUGCGCGGCUGCUGCCCGGCAGCAGGGCGGGGGACGCGGUUAGACGGCUAAAAACCGUGCGUGCGAUCAUUUCAUUUGUAUGUGUUUGUGGAUAACUAGCGGUUAUUGCGAUAUCGACUGCAGCAUGCAGGACAGGACAGGAUGGGGCAGCAAGCAAUUCAUGCAUAUCGCAUGGUUAUUAAUCCACCGUUCACCUGGACGCAUAGCAAAUCAUAACAAUUAUUUUAUAAAACACUAAGAAACACGAAACACCUGAUGCGCUAGUAUUUAUUAAACAGAGAGAAGUAAGGGCAAUCGCAGCGUACGUAUACGUAGUUGUAUUAAAAAAAUGUCAACAAAGCCGGGUAGGGAAAUUCUUUGUGGUCCGUUACGGAGGAUUUGACAGCCCACUCCUGUUUUUGAUUAUCCUUGCUUGGUUCCACAUCCUGGGUUGGCGCUGGGAAGCCCCCAAGUGGUUGUGGAAGCUACCCCCAUGCAACAACCAUGCAUCCAGGGGCGCACCUUCCAGAUAGCGCUCCCCCAGCGGCGGUGCAGUUGGUGUCGGCGGGCUACCGGGGGCCCCUGGACCUAGAGGGGCUCUUGGCGGCCGAUAAAGCCGAAGAGUCUUGCGGACAGCAGGGCCGCCGAGCAGGCUGCGCCGCCCUGCGGCUGCCCCUGAAGCGUUGGCGCCAUUAUUCCUUAAUAGAGACACAUAGAGCGCUAUGAAACAAAGCAACCUCAAUGAUGUGGAAGCCAGGCCGCCCCUAGACCUGGCCACCAUGGCUGUGGGGUAAGAACGGGGCAAGAUCCGACUUCUUCUUGCAGCUGGUUGGUAGUAAGGUGGACAGGUAGGUGGGAAGGUACCGGGAGGCGGGUAGGAACGAACAAUGGCACGGGAAUGCUCGCUCCGCAAUUAUCAUUAAGUAUAUUUAAUUUUUUCAAUUAGAAUAAAUGAUAUAUAGGUCUCUCUUUAUUGAAAUUGCAUUGCUUUACUGCGAAGCAUAUAUAUUAUACUUUGUAGCGAGGGUAUCGAACCGACACUAGUAUUACAUAAGCCGUACAUCCGCAUGACGGGCAUCCACGCUCGCACGCAGUCUUGCCAGUUUCCGAGUUUACAGCACCCUGAUUCAAUAAAAAAAAUUCGGAGUACAAAUUCCUUAUAGAUACUAAAGAAAGUUUAUUAAGUAUUCCUCGCGCGUGUGCGUCGAUGGGCGUGCAGGAAUUUCUGCGGGUUGUGUGCAGGCGCCUUUAUUUGACCUCCAGGCAGACGGGCCCGUUCAGGCUCGUUAAGGAUCGUCAAGCAAUUUAAGGCCCUUUGAAGGCAAUAUGGAGUACAACGUAGUCCACAUGCCGAAUUGAGGAUACCUGCUGUAUGACUAUCCCUAUUACAUACAUAUCCCUAUUACAUACAUUACAAUCCCUAUUGUGCCAGUCAUCACAUACAGCAGCACAGUGAAGUAAUGUAAGGGAACCAGGCCUCUCCUGACAACUGGGAAGCUUAAGCUGACUUUACUGGCCGAUAUACUUGCGUACGCACAGAGGAUCGGGAUUUCAAUCUCAACUUAGACUUACAAUGUUCAUAAUUUGGUCCGCGUCGUACACACAAGUUCAAGCUCCACUAGCUCCGAAGUUACGACAUGGUCUCAGAAGCGCGCGUUAACGAACUUCAAAACAUUACAAGUAAGGUCUUAUGUCCGGCGAUGGCAAAUGCUUCGGGAAUGAAAUUCAUGCGACACCGGGCAAGAAAUAAAAAGACCCCUGGGCUCAGCAGUAAAUCUGCAGCAGCAGCAGCAGCAGCAGCACCAACUACCAGCAGCAGCAAAGCAGACGCAGUCAAUUUUGUACUCACAAAAAGUUGUUUUCGCCAAACGUUAUUAUAUGCUGCGAGUUGAUGAGCUGCUCUCUGCUGCUGUUGCUGCUGCGGCGGCGGCGGAUCUGGUGCAUGCAAAGCUAGACACCGGUAUGCGUUAUACUUCUCCAAAGUUUAAAAACAGCAGCUGGGAGUAAAGCAGCGAGCGGAAUGUCAUUGCACGUAUUACAACAAAGGUAAAUAGUUUUAAGGUUCUUGACCCUCGCGGCUCAAUCAAAGAACAACUCCAAUAUCUCCAAGGAUACCAGAAGCACGGAAAGGGAUGCCUUGUCAUAUUGGUUUGGUUGGUUUGGUUAUUGUUGGCAAAAAGGGAACCUAUAGAUAUAUACAAGCAAGGAGGAAUCGAUUUGCACGUUCCUCAUCAUGAAACAGCAUAGUGCCACAGUUUCAAUUAAUAAAUCAGGAUGUCUAGCAAAUUUCGCGAUUCAGAUCCUGCGUAAUUAUUUGCACUUACGAACUACCAUCGGCUCAUUUCUUAGCCAUUGCCCUCCGCGCCGCGUUCGUUCUACCUCCCAUUGUUUGAUUCAUACGAAAUAUACUUGGUCCAAGCUAAAAGGUCUGGUUCAUGCUGAGUGUGCUUUUUCUGCAGGUUUCCAGCUUUUCAUCAGUUGUGAUGUUAAAGUAAUUAGUCAGCAGCCCGGAUCAGCUGAUCCACCACUCUGCUGGCUGCUUGUGGGUAAAUUAACCUAAUGACCGCACCGUGGGGUGGUGACCACCCGUCUGGAGACUACUCCUCCAGAUUGGGACUGGUCAGUGAGAGUCAGUGGGUAGAAGUAAAACCAUGUGCUGUAUCUUUGCUUACAUCACAACCGUGUGAUAGGUGGUAGUGAAAACUACCGGUGGAUGGAAUAUAAAGCGUAUGGGUUACCUGCAGCGUUCUAGAAGCUGAGCAUUGAAAACCAAGAUUUUCUGAGAGCAUCGCAGUUUUGAGUGAAGUGGUUUCGGAGGACGGUACUGGUGGAUCCGGUGCAGCUGGCAUGGGGAUAGAAGCUGCGGUUGGCAGAGAGAUGCUUUACAUUGUGAUAUCUUCGGGUUCGUUUGCGUAUAUGCAUUGAGUCUUCACGGUAGCUACGUGCUUCACAUAGGCGGAAGUUGGCGCUUGCUGUCAUUCACCAAGCUCGACCAUGGCGGCAAUGCUUGUUACCCCUCUGGGGACGUAGUCGUUGUGUAACUAUCUACAUGCAUGUAGCUAGUAGUUACCAUAUGAUACAGCUUCCUGUAAGGAUCCCACAUACCUGCGGAAAUCCAACUGAACAUCGUAAAUAUGAUGUCAGGCUGAUUGCUUCCCAACGGCGGCACGACUCCAAUAAUCAGUCAAUCUAAACCUGACGCGGAAGCUCUCACAGCAGGGAGGUGGCCAAUUGCGAGGGCAGGUUUCCGUACAACUCCAACCCUACACACAAGAGGAUCAGCUAACCAACCUCAACCAAAAGGUUCCACGACCCGUUGUAUCACAGUUACCCUUGCAUCAGGUAACGAAGGCACCAUGCAAACGUAAAAAUGACCAUGUCUACAACUAGGAUUGCAGUUACGAUGACACGGGACAAUGGGAGAGAUGGUUCAUUCUGCUCAUGUCGUGGCGUCAUGCUUGUGGAGCGACUUGCGACAUUCCUUUGGGGAGCGACUUGGGACUGGUAAGCUCAACAAUAACGGACGACUACGGGCACUCCAAGAGGGUAAAACCCGCUCACUUCGGGAGUGUUGAGUUUUCAGAUGUGGGCCGGGAAGAUCCCAUCUUGAGAUAUUCUGCUACAAGUUCCCCAUUCAUACAGACAGGUACGAUGUGGUUCUUGAAAGAUAUACACAUACAUAUAUAGGGAACGACACGGACCAAAUGAGCAAACGAGAACAAGGGAGAAACAGCAAGCUGCAACUCCCAGAAGAGAUUAAAGGCCUUCUAAAGGCGGAGAGGUGGAGAAACAAGGCGGGGAAGAGACGACAAGAAAGGAAAGGCGGCGCCGACCAGAGGUAGCAGGAAGAUGACACAGACGAUCCGACGCACAAGAAGCACACAGACACUGAGGACACGCACCAGACGCACACGUAGCAAACACGCGGCACAUCGGUCCAUAGAAACUACACGACCCCUUCUCUCAAACACACACGCUCUGGAAAGCAGGGUCGCUUCACAGCAGCACAACUUACUCUAUGACGGCGCUUGUUCGCUGUUGCUGUUGCUGCUGCUGCUGCCGCUGACGGUUUUGCCUCCUCCUUCCGCUGCUGCUCCAGACGACGGUUCCUUUCAACCCAGGACGCCAUGUCACCGUCAUCGUCAUCGUCCGCAGCGCCUAAGGUCUUCACAGCACGCAGCUUGGACUCCAUGACGCGCUUUUCCCGUGCUCUGUACAGCGACAGGGCGCGACAGCGGGGCCGUAAGCCGCGUGUUUCCGGCCGCAAAUCAGCAUGCAAAGACAUAUUCUCCCCCCCCAUGAAAGCGUGUUCAGGGCGCGGUGUGGGGGAGGGGAAAGGGUCAUCGCGUCGCCAUGUGCGUACCACCCCUGCACACUUACGCGUCUUCACUGCCUGGGCCUCGGCCUCCUCCCGAUUCUUUGCUUCAUAGUUCUGCCGCUCUUUUUAUGGUUGGCUGGGCUGUGUGUUGAGGAUGAAGCAGCAUGAGGCCGAGGCAAAUGCGCAACCUGCGGAAGUAACAAGGUCGGACUGCUGAGGAGAGCUUUCCAGCACGCGCAUGUGCUCGUUCAACGUGGGCACUUGUUAGUUUCCUGCGACGCAGCCAUCGGAUAUGGGCUCAAGCUAAGCCUCGGCCUAGGCAACCUAAUGUACUGUUGGCCACGUUUUCCUGAAUCCUUUAAAUCAUAAAACGGCAGGAACUUCAUACUUUCUGAUAUGUUGUGGCUGGUUUUCAUGAUGAUCAAAACAGCUGGGAAUACUAGAGCUGCCGUACAUCAAAAGACCUCCCCGUCCUCCUCCUUUCAUUUCGCGGCACCACCGUCUGCGGCAUUUGCCGGAACGAUUCAUAUCAUCCUCCAUCCAUUUUAAGGAUGUCCAUCGUUCGCGCACCUCAGGUCUGCAGCUUGCAAGCUGCACCAAUUUCCAAGACCCUUGUGUUUCGACCUUGCACUACUCGCGCAGCUGGACGUACGCUUGCUCCAACUGAGCAAAGGUGCGCGUUACCAGAAGCAGUUGGUGGCUAGGAUGCAAGGUCAUUUUGCACACGCGCUCCACCUAGUAUAUCGUGUAUUGACACAGAGAUGCCACUAGUCGUACGUUGGUGAUAUCAUUCGCCAAGGGCGGCAAGGGUGGCAAGGGCGGCAAAGCAGAGACUGCAGUGAAGGAGGAGAAGGGCGGCAAGGCAGCCGCGGGCGGCGUUGAUGUCCAAAAGAUUUCAGCAGACGCAAAGAAGGACGCGGUAGGUUAAUGCGUUGCCUCUCCUGCCUGGUUUCUAUCGGCAUCCCGACAACCGACGAGCGCUUGGCUGGCGACGUACUGCCGCGCGCAGGACGAGCGGAUGAAGAAGUGCCUCAACGUGGUGGCUGAUGGCUUCAACACCAUUCGCACAGGCCGUGCCAACCCCGCCAUAUUGGACAAAAUCACGGUACGUACGGGUACGGAAGAUAUACAUGCAGCAGCAGCGCGUCUCAUGUAGACAUGCUUACACCGUAAUCCUUGCCAGCUAGGAUAGGAUCAUGGCCUAAGGUAAAGUUGGUUCUUGAAGGUCCCACCGGCCCGCAGCUCCCUGUCACCUGGUGGCAUGGAACACCUGCUGCCCCCGUCCUGUCCUCCCGCUCCCUCCAUCUCAUGAUCGGCAUGAACCUAGUGUGUUGGACCAGGUGAUAACGCAGGCUGUGCAGAAGAAAUGACAAAGGGGGGGACGCUGCACAUCUUGAAAAAUCUUGAGCGUCCCCCCCUUUGAAAGGCUGAAAACGUGAACAGAGUCAGUGAGGUGAUGAAAGAUAAGCGGAAAGGAAAAGGGGGAAAAGAAACAGGAGGGAAGGUGACAUGGGCAGAUGCUUAGGUGGCGCUGGGCUGGGCUGAGCUGGGCUGGGGGAGGAACCACCACUCCCUUCCUCGGCUGCCGGCUUCCUGCUGGCUGGCUGGCUGGAUGAGGUCCCAUAACGAGUGUUUUACCGGCCUGGGGGUGCCCCUGCGCGUUCGGCUGCCCCAUUACUAGUCGCCACUUGCAAGUGGGCUGCUGGAUUGCUGGACGAGUGGCGGAUGGAUCCAGGCCUGCCUUUUACCGGAUGAAUGCUAUCAUGCCCCCGUGGCGGGGAACAGCGGCCCUCCAUCCGCAGCCGAUGACAUAAAGUGCUGUGAGGCUCUCUAUUGCUGUGCGGAAGGGAGGACCACGGGGGGUUGGGGGCGGAUUGAGAUGGGUUCGGCAGUUCAUUGUUGUGUAACACGGUUUUGGUAUUGAGUUUUGGCUGUGGAGGAGCGCCGUGCCUUGGCGACGAAUAGCUGUAUCACAUGGUCCUUCAGUCGGCUGAAAAGGCUGAAUAGAAGGCUCCAGGUGCCGGAUGUGGCGGCGGCAGCAGUAGGAGUGUGACGGUGGUAGUGGCUGGGGCGGCCCCCCGGCCCCAGUGGGUCCUUCGCGAUGACCUGAUGGAAGCGCGUGGUGACGAGCAUUCACGGUGGAGGUGGCGAGAGGCGAUGGCAGUGCAUGUGAAGCAAAGCGGUGGAGGUGGAGGUGGAGGCGGAUGACCACCUCCCGGUGCUGCUUGGCGAUGAUUUCGGUGCCGGUCCCUGUGGCCGGACUGCCACAGGGGCAUCAGGGUUCUUUUCGCGACAACAGCCGCCGAGGUGCACGGCGGGGGGGACAUGCAGCGGCAAUAGCACACAAAGGUCAUGCCGGGCUGCGCCCCGCGCCGUGCGCCUGACUUGUCAGGUUGUCCUCCUACAACCCCGCCUCUCUCCACCGGCAUCUCUCUCUCAAGUCCGUAGCAUACUUCUCCAUACCUUUAAUCACCCGUCAAUUGCGAGUCCUGAUUAGCUGUGGUGGUGGUGUGGUGGUGGUGUAGGGGGGAAGGCGGUUCCCAGACCGCACCUCCCAGAGCUCUCAUGCCCACAGGAACCUCGUUUAAACUGCUGUCAUACACAGACAUACACACACGCACAGACACAAUCAAUUAAAUCCGUCGUCACUAGGGCUUAGGCGGCCCUCCUCCUCCUCCUCCUCGCGGCCCUCCUCGUUUGGCGUUUCGUAACGUGCUUUCCAGGUUGAACCUGGGGAGGGCAUGUUGUUUUAUGACCAGUGCCCAAAACGUUCAGGCCUCGUGAAUAAGGAAUACUUCAACUUUCUAAAUCUUGUCUCCACGGCGCCUGGCUGCACAUAACGAUGUUCCAUGGAGGGCACCACUCACAGCUCGAUCUGCACUUCCAGAAUCUGACCGGGGACCCGCCAGAGGUCAUGUGGUGCUCAUGUCAUCGAGUUUUGAGUCUGACACGGCUUUUCCUUCUGAGCCCCAGUCGUUGUUGCCCUCACACCCUCCUUCCAUCGCGCUCGUUUCGGCUGUGCAGGUGGAUUACUUUGGCGCACCCACGCCGCUGAAGCAGAUGGGCGCUGUGACGGUGCCAGACUCGCAGACGCUCAUGAUCGCGCCCUUCGACCGCAGUACCCUCAAAGACAUCGAGCGCGCCAUCCAAGAGUCCGACAUCGGCAUCAACCCCAACAACGACGGCGAGCGAAUUCGGCUGGUUAUGCCGCCCAUGACACAGGUGAGGAACGAUGUGUGACCAAACCAUGAUGCGAAUUAGAUGGACCAUGUCGCAUGAGGGAUGGGCGGAUGAAACCCGGAGGAGAGAGGAAGGAGGGCAGGACCAGCAGCAACAAGCGGCACCUGCGCAGGGCUCUGCGGCUGGAGCCAGGGCGCUAUGAGGCGCUAUUUGUGCGCUGCUUUGCACAUCAAUGCGCACAACAGUGCACAGCCCCUACAAACUUAUCUGGAUGUCACGCUGUGGUGAGCAGUUGGUAGCUCGCGGAGAGGGCCGGCCGGGAGAGGACCGGCCUGAGGAAUAGCGACGCUGGGCCAGGAGUUGAAAGCUUCCAGGGAAAAGGUAACCUGCCAGCAGUACCAGCUUUGGCUUCGGCUGAGAGGAAAGGCGGGGAGGAAGGGGGAGGAGGGGAAAAGGAGGGAGGAGGAGGAGGGGUCAAUGGUCCAAGGGGAAGGUGAGCGUCUACGGACUUGGUCUUCUCAUAACAAAGCGUGUCUCUUUCCUGCUUCUCUCUUCUUCCCGAUGAUGCCAAUGCUCAAUUUCCCCCGAGAUCCCACUCCCUCCUCCUGCCGUCCUCUCGCUUUCACACAGCUGGCGCCACGCCAUUGUUCACCGCCUCUUGCUAGACUAGAACUCAGGGUUUCCAUUUCCAUUCCCCGCCUCCCAGCACCGGACGCAUUCUGGCAGUUCAUUUCUGAUUUCUGAUCUCCUCGCAUAUGAUCUUCCCCCCCACACACACAUCACACUCUUGCCCUGGCAGCAGCUUCAAUCGUGUGUGGUUCGUCCUUCCCCCCCCCACCACCACCACACAUCACACUCUCUUUUUGGCCACCCUCUCACCUACCUUUGCUUCUCUCUUCCCGCCAUCCUUGCCCCUUGUUGCAGCAGAUGUCGUACAGUACGGCACACGCUGUCCGUAAUUACGCGUGAUAGCGCUUUGAUGUGGGCACCUUGAGAGGCCUCCUCUUUCAGCAGCCAGCUGCCGCGCCUAGUUCCCUCCUCGCGCGCACCUUUACCCCACAAGGAAGCCCCUCGGCUUGUGUCCUUCCUUGCUCGCUAGCAUCCGCUCAUCCCUCCCGACAUUCUUUGUCGGGACAUUCUUUGUCGGGACAUUCUUUAUCCACAUGCCCUGCUCGCAUUGCUUGCACACCUCCCUUAGGAGCGGCGCAAGGACCUGGCUAAGCAGGUCUCCAAGAUGACCGAGGAUGGCAAAGUAGCGGUGCGCAAUGUGCGAAAGGAUGCCAUGAAGAAGGUCGACAAGGUAUGGUUGGUACUACUGGGACAGUUGGGGGCCAGGGCUGUGGAAGCCACAUGGGUAGCAUAAACCUUGUAGCAGUAGAAGUUGCAAUAGUAGUAGUAUAGAUGAAGCUGCAGCACCAGUGACCUCGGGGGCUCCGGAGUAAUCGUUUGUCCGUUGGGCUUUUGGUGGUUACCAUUGGCAUGGUUCAUUCUCUUGGCUUUUGCCUUAUCGCUGUCUUGUCCAGUUGAACUUCCCUUUCGGAGGAUGUUCGCACAAGCAUGCGCGGCGUACUCGUGUAUCUUCUUUCAUAGCGUUUUGAUGUUUCGAACGUUUUUGCCAGCUCCGGUAAGUUGCUAGAUAAAUUAAGUUCAAUUAGAGUCCACUUUUUCAUUGUUGGUAUGGACCUUAGUGAUACUCAUGAGCUGUAUCACAUUGAUAAGUUUCGAGGACGUGGUGACGUUUCGACAUCACCUGCAGGUUUCUUCACCUUUCUGUCCAGGCAGGGGCCUUGUCGGUUUGUUGCUGCCGAUAUUGCUUGGCCCACACCUCCACCCUGCUUCUUAUCACUGCCCUCUCCCCGCUGCCCAGUUUAGAAGAGGAAACUUCCCACAUACCUGUUUACACGUGUGUACAGCACAGCGGCAUGCCACAUCUUGCUCCAUCGCUCGCAGGUCGAGCUCCCGAAGGAUGACAAGAAGGCGCUGGAGGACGACAUCCAGAAGCUAACCGACUUGUACGUCAAGAAGUUGGACGACAUGGCCAAGGCGAAGACGGAUGAGGUCAUGAAGCUCUGAGAGCAAUGUGGUGGUGCUUGGUAGUGUGUGGGGCUUGCUGCCGGCCUGAGCUGAAGCAUGGGAGUGUGAGAUUUGGUCUGCACAGCAGCAGGGUGGCUUUCCGCUGUCACUAAUUCUGGUGCAAAGACCGGCUUAUGUAAAGCGGCCCGCCUCGUGAGGGCCGCACAUUAUCACGCCCGUAGAGCUGCUUCAUCACGGCCUGCAUGCACAGCAGGCGCUUUCUAUUCGCAUUUGGGAAGCCAGCAAGCUGAUAUGAGAGCACACGCCGUUGCUUCACGGCAGGGCGUUGUAGGAUGGUGAUGUGUGGUUUUUUUCUGCAAAGACUCCGGUACACGCUAUCACACCACUGCUCCACUGGACUGGUAAGAAACAAUGCACAGGGGUGGAGAGACAAAAGUUACUUUGUGGAGACCAUCGUAGUGCUAUGGGCCGUGCUGGUGUUGGACUUAGCGGUGUAUUCUCGCUCGUAUAUGCAGAAGACCCCAGUAGAUCAGGCAAAUGACGUUGCCGGCCAGGAUCCUGAGUUAGCGGAUGGGGAAGGGGAGGGAGAGAUGGGAAGGGAGGAGAGGGGGAGAGGGAGGGAGCGGUUAGCACUGCAACCGCCGCCGUCAUCCACUCAACCCACUCCCUUCACCUCUUUCCUCCUCAUCUUCUCUCUCUCUCUUAAGUCCUUAGUAAGGGGCUUAGAAGCGAGCCGCAUAACAUGGGCUUGCAACUUUGCUUGUCCUGAUGUGCGCCGCGCCGGCCUUGGCUCCUCUGGCGUUGAGUUCAGCUGAGGAAUGGGGUCCUGGGGGCAAUGGCGUGGCACUGGCAGGCAGCUGCUGUGGGAGUUCUUUUUUUGUCAACGGAUUUGCGGGUUGGAGCGGGGUGAGGAGCUAGGGGAAAGGAGAGUCAUGGAGUUAUGGGGUAGCCAGGUUAUCAAGGGGCCCGGCAAGGCGAGAGGAACUCACUGUAUCGUCAGCCAGACCAAAUGCUGUCAACGUCAUGAACACGGCGAUGCGGACACCUGCCGCGUUGGGCACCGUGACGAACGGGUCAUGCUUGAGGAGGCCAUACCCGAGCCAUGCGAUGCAGUUGGCAAUGGUCACGCCAAAGGGCAGGGGGUUCAGCUCCUGCGGAGCACAAGGAAAUACGCUGACCUGGAUUGGCAUGAAGCCCAAACUGAAACUGCAAUAUAUCUUACGCCCAAGCUUUUUUCUCGUGAAGCGCGGAGGACGGCCUUCAACGGUGAAAGAUACCUGCGUACCCAAAACCCGACACCAGUGGGCGAUUGCCGCAGAUCAACGAAAUUUGUCAAGGAUAAAAAGCUUGCUUAGUCAACUUUUGGGUGUUCUAUCUGAAUUGUGAAGCUUGCUGGCGCGCGAAGCCUAGCGAGCCAGCAGAACAGCAGUUGUAGUGCUUAGAAAGUCGAACUUGCGUGUCAAAGCGAAAACAUGGUUUUGAGCACUUCGUAAGCACCUAUCUAUGCCGCAUAACAAGAUGCGUGAUGGCAGCUGCCUAUGCGUAUGCAAAACGAUGUCGGGAUAGUUACAAAUAUCGCCACGGCAGUUACAACGACACGGCACAUCAAGUCGCCUAACGGCACAUGGCCAACUGUGUAAAAGCCGAGGGACAUAGUUCAGCUAGCAUCACGCACAUUUUAUCUGAAUCUCUAGCAACCUAACGUUUUUCCUUCACGUGAACAACGGCCCUGCUUCUGCACCCAACCAGCUUAGGACCAAUCAGCUAACCACCGUCUCCAAAACAGACCAAAGCAAAGUACCUGGCACAGCUGACCCACAUCAGGAUUCCACUCUCUCUCUCAGAGGCACACGCAAACACCGGAAUUCACACCUCAGGUAAAAUACACACACAACCUUGCGUGACACAAGGUUAGGAUUCUGACCGACAUAGCGCCCCUCCAAUGAUGGAGUGCUUCGGCGGUCGUUCCCGUUGGGGUACGGUUAGGUGCUCCUGGCCAGCGUCAGGCCCGGAUCGAUAUGUAAGAGAUAUUAUUACAUACACACAAACACACACAAAGACACACAAACACACCGAAGGCGCUAUACCUGCCCACCGGACCCCCUCCCCGCAUACUCACACAGCUCGGUAGCGACACCAUCACAACCUUCCAUUAUCACCACCAUCACCAUCACUAUCACGGCAGCGCAUCCUCACACACAACACUAACUCCCAACUGCCGGCCUUAAUCACUACCUAACCACUACCACCCCAAUGCCGUACAAUGCAGAUCGCCCCGUACAAUGUACUGCAGGUCGCUCUCCCCAGAAGGCCACGUAACCCGGCUGGCGAUACCGUCGCAAAACCCACACGCGAGCGGGCACCAACACACCACAUCAGAAAACAAUCAUUAGCUUUUUCCGAGCCAAUGACCGGGUGACACAUUCUCACACAGCACAAUCACGACCAGCAGUCGUCCAGCAGCAGAGCUGUACAUCUACUCGACUCGCAUCACGGAGUCCCGUACCGUCUCAUAAUUUAUCUCUCUCCACCUCCCGUGUCACUUCCCUCCACAUGCAAACACGUAUUCACACACAUACACACACAUACACACACAUACACACACCUAUCUGAAACGAAAUCAAAUGCCAUCAUGCAGUGAGAUCCUGAUAUCCAAGUCGUAGCUUCUGCACCAAUCAAAUGUCGCCCGCGAUCUCCGCCAGCUCCAACCACCGCAACUCCUCCUCCUCCAGCUCUUCGGAAACCUGCAAUCGUUACCCACCCACGUGCCGUACGCCAGUCAUCACGUACGGCAUUACAUGCAUUUAAUAAAAACAGGAAUCUGGAUCUCUCGUCAUCGUCGUCGUCGUGACACAUGCACGACAAAACUGGGGGGUAACCACUGCCGGCUCUGGUUGGACGAGGUGUAGGAGGAAGAGGUGUAUUCUGUACUGGUACACAUACAUACAUACAUACAUACAUACACGCACACAUACGCAUCGAUACGGCCAUUCGUGUACUCGGGGUGUACCUCGGGCUCACAGAUAAAAUAAAACCGCACACACCCGCACACACCCGCACUGCUCAGAGGGCCACGUCUUGGGGUGGUUGCUCAGGGGAUCACAACGAGAACGACAAAAAGGAACAAGACAAGAAGGAUGUUAUGAAUAGGUUUGAAAACCAUACUAAUAAUUUAUCUUGGCCUCAUCCUCUUCCAAAACCCCCAUGACUGCCCAUCACAGUGAUCGCAGUAAUGUGCUGGACACUUCUCUCUUCCCGGAGGUGCCCUCAUCUCCCUCAUCCCGGGCAUCACGAUGUGCCGGUCAGUGGCUUCUCCCCCCCCCUGGAUACUCGGCUUUCCAUGUUACCUUGGCGAGCUCUUUGCUCAGUCGUUCGAUCUCACUGAAGCUGCUGCUGCUGCUGCUGCUGCUGCUGCUGCUGCUGCCACCAGCACCACCAGCCGCCGCCGUCGCCGCCGCUAGCUGCUGGUCGAUCUGCUCCCUCCUCUCCCCGAGCGCCUCCAACUCCCUUCCUACUUCUACGGGGUGCCGGGUUUGCGCAGUUCAUCAACCUUCAGUUCAAGUCAUGUAUGUAUGUAUGUAUGAUGUGUGGGACAGGGGGGCAUAUCUUCACCCUGUGGCCGCUACCCAGCGAAACCCUGCCUUCCCCGGUAUUUCGGGGCACCCUCAUCCAG